rnacentral:lncRNA from 1 species
AUGAGAAUUUUCUAGUAUAAUUAUUGAUAACCUGAUUGAUUUUCACUUCUUCAGAAAUAUUUCUAUUCAUAAUUUGAUAUCUAUUUAUAUCUAUAUAUUAUUUUCAUAUACAAUUUGUCACGCGACAAUUCCUCCUUCACUCUCAUUCCCACUUCUUAAUGCUUCAUCUUUCCAUCCCCUACCUCCGCCCGAUGCUUCGUUUUCAUAUUCGCCCAAACUUCUAAUUAAUAUAUUAAUAUGAUCCAUUCUCAUCUAAACAAAUCACUUUUACAAAAAAAAUAGCAAAAUAAGAAUAUUUUCAUACUCUUUUUUCUCACUUUUUUGUUUUCCUUUUUUCUUGACCGUGACCUAGGAGAAGCUCGACGCCGACAAUAGCGGUGGGGGCAAUAUGGAGAACAGGAUUCGCCUCUCCGAUUUCGGCAGCGCUAUCAAGGUGCGUAUGGAGUAAUAACUCUAUUACUGUUUUUUUCAUUAUUAUUAUUAUUAUGUGUAAUUUAUUUACUGAAAUUGUAAAUUUUGCUACAUUUGUACAUAUUUGUUUCAUAUUUUAUAUUUGUAUUUAUUGGCGUCUUAUGGUAAGUGAAAAAAUUUUAAAAUUUUUAUUUUGUCAGUCUUAUGUUUUCCAUAGUAUCAGGCCGUCCGUCGCAAUGUGUCGGUAACUUCACUAGCGAUAACAUAUUUCACUUAUGUACCUAGCUAGUUAAUUAUUACGAUAUGAGAAGUAUUAUGUUAGGACAUAAAGAAAUCGCAGAAUAUAUAAAAACAAAUUCUCAGUUCCGAUGAGAGAGGUGGGAUUAAGAUUAAAAAAUUAUAAUUAAUUAAUUAAAACGUUGUAGUUUACCUCAGGGAUUGCGUAAUACAUAGUUCUUAAUUUUUUUAAAAGGUUAAUUAAAUUAAUAAGGACAUGUAUAGUUCAUGCAUCCAUUUCACCCUAUAUUUAUUCACAUGUGUAAUUAAUUAACCAAGUGCUAUGCACGUCUCAAUACAAAAGCAAACUACACAACAAUUAAACGCCCUAAAUUGGCCCUAAUCACUACAUACAAUGAAUGUAAUUAGCUACAAAAUUUCCUCCAAAUCAUGUGAUUAAUAAACUUAAUUAAUGCGUAGCGAAUAUAUGAACUCUUGUACAUAAGCGUAGUUCCUGGGGAGGCCACAUGCUUCUAAUCAUCUAAUAGUGUCGUUUAGUUGCUGGUAGAGGGAUUGUAUUCAAAUAUUCUUAAUUAUUACUCUUUUUAUUAUUCUACAUGGAAAAUGAUAGGAUCUAAUUCUUAAUUAACACGUCUCUAUUGUGUAUGUUUCUCAUGUGGUAUGGUGUUGGAGACAAUGACGUAUCUGAGCAAAGGAAAAAUGUUGCGUCUACUCGGUGUAUAAUUAUAUUUUUAUACAUUACAAAAUUUAAUAUCAUGAAUAUAAUCUACAGGAUCUAAAGAGCCAAUAUAUAGUGAAAAAUCAUUAGUUUAUACAAUAUGUCACCUAGGCAUUAAGUAGUCAUUAAAAUAAUAAAAUCAACAGUAUAUGCAAUAAUAUAAAUUUUGAUAUAUAACUAUAUAAGGCUCUUAAAUGUUUCCACAUAUAUAUAUAUAUAUAUAUAUAUANAAAGCAUAAGAGCCCAAUUAUAUAUAUAUAUAUAUAUAUAUAUAUAUAUAUAUAUAUAUAUAUAUAUAUAUAUAUAUAUAUAUGGUGUGGUGUACGGGAUACAGAUAAUACACUCGGUGUAGAAAAUAGUUUCUCGUGAACCAUCGGGGCCUAAUCGCGGCCCCCUCAUCACCGUUAAUAGCACAUGGGCAGUCAACGUACGGAGGGUGAUGGUUCAACAAAUAAAGCGCACCGCGCUUCUCCAAAAAAUUACGCACUUUUUAUAAUUAAAAUUUUAGAAAAAGAUUAAUUUCACUUCAAUUCAAAACCAAUUUUUCAUUUUCGUUUUGAAUCUUUAAUUUUAUAUGAUCAUUUUUUGAAAAAUUGAAUUAUUAUGUUUAGUUUUAUCAUCAAAAAUCAUGUUAUUAAAUCAAAGAAUAUGACUCAUAUGCCAUUUAGCCUUAGCAAAUUACGUGCUUUUGUCGGAUUUAUACGAAACAACUGAUUUCUUCAAAAGCUCGCAUCUGAACUCUAUAAUACUAUUUUAUAUAAAGUGAAAUAGUAAUUUAUCUCAAAGUUUAAGUUUUAAGAGAAUGACACUACCUACUCGAGCUAAGUUGUAAAAAAUAUGCGAAGUACUUACUAAUUUAAAGAGGUGAAUCAUCAUAGGAGGAUGCAAAUAGGAUCCGAGAACAAUGAGUUACUACUUUAAGCUUCAGGGUUUUGCAAGUGAUGAGUGGGUACAUUUUAUAUGUCUGGUAUGGGAAUAAAUCAGAGAAAACAAAAUUUAUCCCCACUAUACCACCAAAUGUCGUCGGAAUGAUUAUUCUGGUCAAACUGGAUUAUUCUAGACAAUUCUAGAAUAAUCUGAGAAUAACUACUCCACUUUUUUAGUGGUAUAAGGCUAUUCUCAUACUUAUAUCUAACUAAUUAAAAAAUAAAAAGAUAUAAUCCUGCUUAUAUUUAGCUAAAUAAAAUAAAAAUAAAAAUAAAAAUAAAUAAUAAUAAUAAUUUUUUAAUUUUUGAUUUUUUUAAAAAAAUAAUAACAGUAAUAGUAGUAUUUAUUAUUGUUACUGUUAUUAGUAACAGAAGUACUAUAUACUAUUAUUAUAAAUAAAACAGCAUGUAUUAUAACAUAUAACUAGAUUUUCACCCGUACGAUGCACGACUAAUAUAAUAAUAUAGAAUAAUAAAAAUUAUUAUUUGAUGAUAACAAAAAAAAUUUCUAAUUAAUUUUAUUUUUUUUAACAAAUAAAAAAAUAUACUAUCAAUCUUAAUUAUAGUACAUAUUAAAAUACACAAGCUAGAGAAAAAAAAAAUUGGACCAAAGUAAAUAUUCAACUAAAAUGCAAAAUUCAAUCAUGCUCUAUUAUCUAUGAAUUGGUGUGCAAAAUAAUUUACAUUUACAUAUUGAUGUGCGAAAUAAAAUAAUAACUAAAAUUAAUAUGAAAAAUUACAAAUGACAUUAAUAUUUAAGCAUAUAAUGAGAUCAUCUAAACUUUCAUAUUUGACACAAAUUAAAGUAAGCACACAUAUAUUAUAUUCCUACUGUCAUUUUUAAGAUUUAAAAAUAUAUAGAUAUUGGUUUUCAAGAAAAUAUAAAAAAAAAAAUUUGUUGCAUGAAGAUGAAAAGUUACAGGAGUGACAGUAGGAAAAAAAAUUACGAAAUAAAAAUUACAGAAGUGAUAGUAGGGAAAUAAUAUGUUCUAUUUUAAAACAUCAAUAUUUAAGAGCGAAGAAAAUUACAGGAGUGAUGUGAAUUUUAAAUUUUUUCCUCUUUCCAAAAAUGCCUCUAUCUUUUUUUACUAAUAUUUUUAUGUCCAAAAAUUUUCAACCAAUCAUUUCAAAUAAUUAACUAAGUAAUAAUUUAUUCCCAAAUAAAGAUAAAUAUUUUCUUUCUCACGCGUAAUAUCCGCACCGCCAAUUUUUUCGCAACAUAAUAUCCGUAAAUUUCUCAAAUACCUCAACAUAAUUAUAAAUGACUUUGAAAUAUAACUAAGUAAUAAUUUAUUCUCAAAUAAAGAUAAAUAUUUUUCUUCUCAUGCGUAAUAUCUGCACCGGCCAAUUUUUUUGCCACAUAAUAUCCGUGAAUUUUAUAUUCCUUAAAAUAGAAAAUUUAUAUUUGAGCUUGACAUGUAGAUUUUUUAUAUAGUAAAAGAUAUUAAUUUCUUAAAAAAUUUAUUUUUUUUUCUAAAUAAAAAAUCUAUAUUUGAGCUUGACACGUGGCAAACAUAUAGAGCGCCACGUGUCAGCUUCUCACAUAGGGUUCAUUAAGGGUUCUACUUUUAUAUAUAGUAAUAGAUAUAUUAAAAUAUAUUAUGACUUCGUUUGGAAUUGUGGGGAGAUUGCGUUACGUGCAUGCAGUGAGAAAUGACAAUGGAAAAAUAUCUUUUUUGUUUCCGUACGUAAUAUUGCGUUCCGCAUAUUGCGGUUAGUCGGUUACGAUAUAUUUUCUACGGUCCCAUCGGAGAACAAGCAUAUCUCUAUAUGUUUUUUCUCAACUCUAUUUUAUAUAGCAUUAGAUAAAUCUCAAUACCAAACUAAGCUUAUAUUGUAUUAUUUAUAUAUAGUUUCUUCAUUAUUCUAUUUUUGAGUUAACUAUCAAACACAUUUUUAGCUAUCCUUAAGAAUAACAAAAUCUUUAACCAAACACAAUUUUGAACUUAUUCUUGUAUAUCUCAGAACAACUAGCUAUUCCAAAAAUAAAAAAAAAUAUAUAUUUCUAAGAAUGUAAACCCCCAACCAAACAUAUACAUAGUACUAUUUGUUACCAUGAUUCAUUGGCAAAUAAUGAAGGAAAAAAUUGCCUUGCAACACACAUGCAUUGCCGCAACUGAAACUGUGGGCUUAUUAAUUAAGGUCAUGGUACACCUCUUGCAACUUGCAAAUAUAGCCUAGCAAUAUUAAUUAAUAUUUCGACAUUGAUAUCCAUUCAUUGUACUAUCCCAAGAUUCAUGAAUUAAUGAGAUCUAUCCCCAUUGUCCUCCCCCUAAUCCCUCUCUAAGGCCCUAACUACUAGCUAGACAUCAAUUAGCCACUAUCUUUUGACCUGCAUAAACACAUGCCAAAGUCCGCUAGUAUCUGAAUUCAGGAUCUACCGCUCUGAUAUUUGUGACGUAAUUAUUAUUUUUCUAGUUACUUUAUAAGUUAGCAGAGAAUAACAUUUCAAAGAAAAUACAGAGUUAGCUCACCUGAGUUCAAAACUCACCUUGAUAUACUUUGAAAACAUAGAAAAUAUAUACAUCAUGUUCAUUUGUUUGUCUUUAAAUUAAUAAAUCAUCAUGUUGUGUGAUCAAGCCAAUUCAGUAUUCAAAAAGGAGAAUAAGGUGAGAAGAGACCCUGCACAGAUACAACUUUGUGGAGCAAGUGGAAUGAGGUACUACAUAUAUAUAGAACGAGGAUACUAUACUAUCUAUAGUACCAGAGCUCCGAUACUAUAGUCUCAUUUUCAAUAUUAAGGUAUUCAAAUCAACGAUCCACGUUAUUAAAUAUGAUUUUGGAUAUAUAAAAUUCUUAGGAUUAAAAUUUAAAUUUUUUUUGACAUUGUUUACUUAGUAAGUAAAUUAUAUCAAAAUAAACGGUAGAAAUUGAACAAAUUUUAAAAUUUGAGGAAAGAACUUUUUUAUUUUUAAGAUCAAGGAUAUUGAUCUUGAUCUAGAUAAUUUAAAAUAUUUUCUGUCAAGAUUUGAAUAAAUUUAGAUUCUUUUACACCGUUAAACUAUAAACUCGUCAUACUAAUCAUUAAAAAUUAAUAAUUUGAAAAUAAUUUUGAUCAUAAAAUAAAUUAUAUAAAAAAAUAUAUAAAAUUUCAUUUCUAAAAACUUUAAAUACUCUAAACCAGUUUUAACGGCAUCGACCGUUGAUUUGAAUAUUCUAAAGUUGAAAAUAAGACUAUAGUACUAGAGCCCUGAUACUAUAGAUAGUAUAAGAGCUUAGCUCUUUCUAUAUAGAGAGAGAGAGAGAGCUAGGCUGCUAUUUUAUCGAUAGCACGUAGGCCUCUAUAUAUACUACUAAGUUAUUUUGAGUGAUAUAGCUUUCAAAUCAACGAUCAACUCUAUUAGAGUUGAUAUGUACUAUUGAAAGUAUUUGGAAACUAAAUUUCAUAAUUUUUCGACAUUAUUUGGCUAGUGAUCAAAAAGUCUCAAAAUUGACAAUGUUAAUGAUCAAUAUGAUUCGUUUGUAAAUUUUACGGUGUAAAAUAAUUUAAAUCUGAUGAAAUUUUUAUAAAAAUUUUAUUUUUCACUAUUUAGAGUAAGAUCAGUACCUCUGAUCUUAAAUUCAAAUCUUUUAUCAUCAUUUUUAUGAAAUUUUUAUUUUCAGUCGUUUAUUUUUAAACUACUCAUUUCAUAGGUAAAUAAUGUCGAAAAAUUAUGAAAUUUAGUUUUUAAAUAUUUUCAAUAAUGUAAAUCAAGUCUAAUAGAACCCAUCGUCGAUUUGGAAGUGUAUCAUUAGAAACAAUUUGCCAGCAUGAAGAACUCCAUGAUACCGAUAGUAUAGUAGUCAGAAUAUAUAUAUGUAUAUAUAUAUAUAUGUAUAUAUAUAUAUAGAGAGAGAGAGAGAGAGUCCGGCUACUAUACUAUCGGUAGUACCAAGCUCUUGCUACUAUCGAGUUUUCUGCCAUUAGAUCUACCCUUUGAUUAUUUCCACUCAGUAAAUUAUACUAUUUAACCAACCACCUACUCAACCCUAAGGAACUACAAUCAUUCUAAUCGGGAACCACUAUUAUUCUAAACGGACAUCUUUUCAUCCAACGGCCGAAAACUUAGUAGCACCAAAUACUUGAUACUAUCGAUAAUAUAGUAGCAUAAUUAUAUAUAGAGAGAGAGAGACACACACACAACCUUCAAAACUACUAAGACAGCGGAAAUAAAUGCGUGCAAGUUGGUGAUGAGAAAUGGCUCUCUCUCAGAUCAGAGGCGGUUUUCGAAGUAACGUUUACGUAUUUGAUACAUACAUUUGUGGCAUUGUAUAGUUUAAGAAGAAUGCUGCAUCCUGUACCCUGAUACUCUGUUAUCUAGCUGGUUGACAAAGAUAUCUGCAAAUAAUGCAGGUUUGGCUCACUACAGUGUCACUUUCCUGUAGAGAUAUCUAUGCAUAUAUAUUACUUAUAAAAUUAAGUUACAAACUUCUCUAAACAUAUAGAAUAAUAAUUCAAAUUUCCCAACUGCUAUCCAAAUUUUCUAUGCAUGGGUGAUCACUGACAUAGUAGAAUCACUUCGCAUAAACUAGAAUUAAUUCAAUUUUGAUUGGUAGCAUGCACCAUUGAGGAAUGUAGAUUAAUAUAUGGCUAAAUUACAUAAAAUUUUUCUGUCAAAAUUCGAUUUUUCAUUUUUUUCCCGUCAUUUAAAAACCUACACUCUGCCUCCUUAUAAGAUAAAAAAUGUUCACUCCGCCUCCUGCCUUUAGUAAUCCGUUAGGGUUCUGUUUAUAAAAUAUUAUUAUAUAUAUUUUUAUAUCAAAAAUGUCUCAGCUUUCUCUCCUGUGAACAUGAUAAGGAGCAAAAUGGUGAAGGGCAAAAUAAUCAUUUUAUCAUUAUAGUUCACACCGUACUCCCCUGUGAACAUUUUUUAUUUUACAAAAGGGCAAAGUGUAGGUUUUUAAAUGACAAGGAGGAAAAGUGAAAAAUCAAAUUUUGACAUGAAGGUUUUCUAUAAUUUAGCCAUUACUUGUAUAAACUUGGUGAAUUAAUGUACCAUAGAUUGGAUCCAUUGAUAAAUGCAUAUGUUAUAUUUAGGGAUAAGUGGUAAUUAAUGAUUCCCACUUCCGUGGAUAUAUUUAACACUCUUCUUUCGUUCUAGAGCAAUUAUACUUAUUACAAGAAAAGCCCAAGCGCACUCUCGUUUAUUCUAGCGUAAAUUAAACAGUGCACAGUACUAUAAAACAAUAUAUGAAUAAAUAUAUGGAGCCAAUACAUCAUUUUUUUUUUAAAUGAGCUCAGUUAAAAAUGCAUAGUUACUAAUCUCCAACUUGAAAUCUUGAGUACCAACUAUCUAGUUCUUAACUAACCGUUUUAAGUUUAGUCAAUCUCAAAAGCCAAAAAAAUUUCUAUCUAUUACAUUAAAACUCUAUUAAAAUAUUUUAGGAAAAGAUCAUUAUUGCAUUUUCAAGAACCUGACGAGCAUUAAUAUGCAUCUAGAAGUUCUAAUUGAGUCAAACCAAGGUGGGACAAUAGUUUUAAAUUUUCGAAAAACUCCUUUAUCAAUCAUUUCAUCGAGGUUAGAAAAAAUAUAGAUAUUUUGACAUUUCUAACCAUUACACAUAUUUAUCAACAGAAUUAUUGCCUUGUCUAGUCUCCUUAAGAGGAAAAAAAAUUUCCUAUCUAGCCAUCUUUUAAAAAUAUUUUUAAUUUAGUCAUUUUAUAGAUUAAAAAAGUAAGUUAAUAAUUUUUAUAUAGAUUAAUAUGUUAAGUGGAUGGGAGAUUAAUAACUUUUAUAAAUUAAACAGAAAGAAUUAAGAAUGGUUUAAAUUAAGUAAAUAUAAUAUAAUUUUAUGUAUGAACACUUAAUAUUUUUGUAUGAUUGUAUUUUUCAUUUUUGUUGUCUACUGAACACUUAGUCUUUGUGUGCUAAUUAGCUUAUUAUUUGUACUAUCCAAUUUAGUUAUUUUAAUUUAUAUGAAGAAAUUAUUUAAUAAUAAUAUGAUAUAUGAUUAUAUUGUCAUUAUUAUUAUUGUUAAUUAUUAACAAUAACUAUUUGAUUAAUAUUGACUUGUAUAAUCAAAUUAAAUACUGAUAAUAAUAAUUUUCCACCCACUUAACAUAUUAAUCUAUAUAAAAAUUAUUAACUAUCUCUUUUUUCUUAAUCUAUAAAAUAAGAUUAGAUUAAAAAUAUCUUUCAAAAGAAGGCUAGAUACGAAAUUUUUUUCGCUAAGGAGGCUAAGCCGCUAAGUAAGGUAAUAAUUAUAUAAAUUUGUCAAUAUAUCAGUGCAAUGGAUCUACGGCGCAAACAAAUUUUAAAAUCAAAACAAAGAUUAGGAAAAAAGAAAAAAAAAAAAAAGAAGAAUUACUGGAGAAAAUUUCAGAGAAAAGUACUUCUUUACAUUCAAAUGUACAAGACGAGUACAUCAAAAUUAUUCACCCCACCUACAUUAAAAUUAGAAAAUACUAAAUAGUAAUAAUAAUAAUUAAGGAAAAAGCUUAUAAUGAGAACACAAUUAGGGGUUAAUAAAUUCUCGAUCGACUCUUCUUUUUUUCUUUUUCUUUUUUUUUUAAUUUUUUUUGGUUUUUCCGCAACCCCAUAUGUAGUAGUUCCGAGAAUGUACAUCGUACGUCGUCGACCCACAGUGCGGUCGUCGUGCUUUGAGAUUAACGCUCGAAGUGAUUGAUGAUCAGCAGGCGUAGAAGUCGACGAGCUCGUCGAGCGAGUCCGGGGCUGGAUCGGCGUUCUCGAGCAUCCAGAGGAGGUGCUCGAAGAGGACGACCUCGCAGCCGACGACCAAGCCGUCGCCGGAGACGUCGCCGGAGACGGAGGAGCGGGCGAGGAGGUGGCGGAAGAGCGGGUGGGAGACGAGGUCGGAGGAGAGGAGGUAGCGGCGGCGGGACUUGCCGACGAAGACGGGGUGGAGGCCGGAGGGGACGGGGAGGCGAUCCUCGUCGUCGGAUCUAGGGUUUAGCCACGCCUCGUCCUCGUGGUGGUGGCAUCUCGCGGAGGCGGAGGCGGAGGCGGCGGCGGCGGCGGUUCCGCCGGAGACGGAGCGGGAGACGGCGCGCACCGGGGUGGAGUUCCACCGCUUCAGCGCCCCCUUUAGCUUGCUCAGCUUCGAGCUCCGCGCCAUGGAUGCCUUAGAGAGAGAGAGAGAGAGAAGGGUUUAGAGAGAGAAGGAGAGAGAGAGAGAAAGAAGGGGUGUGAGUGACGAGGGAGAGAAAGGGGGGAGAAGCUUCGCGUAUUUAAAGAAAAACGGUGGGGCCCAGUGGAAGGGCAGGGGCGCGACGGGGCUGUAGAAAACGGGCCCCGGAUGUCGUGGAUAAUUACAGGAGUGCCAGUGGCGGUUUGUUUUUAUCAUAUAUUCAUGUAUAUAAUAAUAUAUACUAGUUUACCGUCUCGGGCACGAUGCGACGAAUAAAUAAUUUAAAAAUUAAAAAAUAUUAAAAAUAGCGAUGAGAAAAAAUAAUGAUAAGAGAUGAGAUAUAUCUUACUGACGAAUAAAAAUAACAACUGAAAGAAAAGGAAGGACUUGAACUGAUUCGGAGUGAAGUCCACACUCAAUAAUAACAAAAAAAGUUGUCACACGACAAUUUUAGGAGAAAUAAUAUACAACCAUAAAUAUAUUAGUAAAGUAAGGUUUACUGUAUAAUAAUAACAUAAUGUCAUUUAUAUUUAGUAUAAUAUAUAUUUUAGCUUAAUAAAAACGAACAAUAAAAAUAUUUUUUUUAAAAAAUAUUAUGGAAUUGAAGGCUCAGGAGUGGAUGUAACAAUCACAUUCUAGACUUUUUCGAGCAAUAAUAGUCCAUGUCAGUAUACCGACCGUCCCUAGAGUAAGUGGUAAAAGGCUUGGUGGUUGGUACCAGAGACCCAAAUUCGUAUCCUAAUUGAUUCACAUUUUCAGCUAAGUUUAUUUCUAAAUAAAAUAAACGAAGCGGGUAGCAUACUAUCUAUCUCUCUCAAAAAAAUAGUCCAUGUCAGUAUAAUAGUGGAAUAUUCUAAGUGUAUGUGAAAAAUGACUAAAUAAUUAGUAUUCAAAAUUUUAUGUUCAAUUUCUAUUUAUUUUAUAUUUAUAACUGAGUUUAUUAUUAAAAAAAAAAUGAAGUAGAUAGUAUGCCAUUUUUUUUCUAACAAAACAAUAGUAUAAGUAUAUAAGAAGCAAAAAUCUAUUAUUCAGUAAAAUCAUGGAUUUCACAAUUUCUCAGAGUAAACAUAAAAAUUAUUUACAUUCAAUCGUAAAAAAAUAUUUCAGACAAUUUAUUCAGAGUACAUCUAAGUAGGGUCUAAUAAUUAUGAUACAAAAAUGAGCAACUACUGUUUAGAAUAGUUAAUUGCCUAUUUUGGAGGCCAGGGCAUUAAAAAUCCUGUAUUUUUUUAGGUAUAGGAUGUGGAAAGUGUUGGAAUGAGAAAUUUGCAAACAAUUUUAGAGAAAGGUUUUAAAAAAAAAAAACUUGCUAUGCCAUGUUUGAAAAAUACAGUAAACGACCAUCCCUAACAAAAGUGGUAAAAACUCGAUGAUUAGUAUUUGAGUUGUCAAUUUUGAUGUUAAUUACUUAACAUUUGGAGCUAAAUUUAUUUCUAUAACAUUAAUAUCUUUCUCUCAGAAAAAAAAAAAAAAAAAAAACUAUCCAUACAGAAGGUUAGUAAGUUACAAUGAAAGGUGGAAAUAAAAAAUGCGAAAAAUUAACUAAACUUUUCAGAUUUUGUACUCCAAUUGAAAUUGGGAUAAAUCUUUUAUAUUCACUCUUUUACUUUUCUUUUCUUUUUUUUUUUAACUAUAGUUUUUAAGAAGGGUAGUGCCUCUAAAUGAAAUGAAACUGGGCAAAUAUAAAAUUGUGAAGCCCCAUGAUUUCAUGCUCAUAAUAAUGAUAAUAAAUAUACAUGGCCAAAGCUGUUGCAGAGUACAAAACUAACUUUGAAAUGACAAGGUCAUUCCCCCAUGAUUUUGUUGUAGGCUAUAUAUGAUAAUAUUAAUGACUCUAAAUAUUAAAAUAUUUUAUGGUAUUUAUUGGAGCAGUUAUUGUAAGUCUUUUUUUGGUGCAUUAUUUUUGUUUACUAGUACAAGACCUGCGCUUUGCGAUGGAUAAAUAGUAUUUCAGUCAACUUAAAUAUUUUAAUUUUUAUAAAUUUUAAUAUAUAUUAUAAAAAUUCAAAACCCUCAAUAUAAAAAUUUAAAACAGUCAAUAUAAAAUCCUCAAUAUAAAAAUUUAAAUUUUGAUAUUUUUAAUACACAAAUUUUCGAUAUAACAUAGAUCACAUUUAUUUAAUUAUAUUAUGAUCUUAUAAUAUGAAUUAUUAAAAAUUGCAGUAGGUGCGUGUAAUAUUUAUAGGCUUAGUACAGGCAAUUUUUAUACCUGAGAAGUGGGUUUUGAGAAGUGGGUUGUAUACAUAUAUCUUAUAUAGACCACUGGUAAAUUUUUUUAUUGAAAUUUAAAAUUUGUAAUAUAUACAGGCUUUUUAUAUGAUGUAGAUCAUAACUAUUACACUAUAAUUUAAUUUUAAAAUUUAAUAAUUAAAAUUAUGUUUAGUGGAUGUUAUAUUUUAAUAAACCGGGUGCAUGCAAAAGUUGAAGUGAAAGAAUUGAAGGGGACAUGUUACAUGUAUCGCUUUCUAAUUGCUAACAUGAGCCAACUCUCAAUAGUGAAAAAAAGCAUAGAGAGAGAAACAAAUUUCGUUGCACCUAGUGUAUAUUAAAACUCCAUGCGCUAUACAGUAUAUGAUGACUAUUAAAAUAUUUGAUAAUAAAUACCGCAAAAUAAUGUAUAAUAUAUAAUAUGUAUAAUAUAAGAUAUUUAAAUAAUUUACUAUAUUACGAAAAAUUAUUUUUUAUAUAUUUUUUAGAGUUGAUUUACGGUGCACCGGCCGCGUCCCAAUAUUUUCUUGGGAAAACUUCAAAUACCCUCUUUUGGUUUCACUUUUUCUCACUUUAGUAUUAUGUGGUUUAAAGUGUAUCAAGUUAGUACCCUGUGGUUUUGCAUUUUUUUCACGUUAGUACCCUGUGGUUUAAAGUGUAUCAAGUUAGUAUCAUGUGAUUUCGCACUUUCUCACUUUAGUAUUCUGUGGUUUCACACUUUCUCACUUUAGUACCCUGUGGUUUAAAAACUACAUGGUACUAACUUGAUACAAAAAUAAAACCACAAGGUACUAACUUGAUACAAAAAUAAAACCACAGAGUACUAGCUUGAUACACUUUAAACCACAGGGUAUUAAAGUGAGAAACUGUGAAACCACAGGGUACUAACUUGAUACAUUUUAAAGUACAAAGUAUUAAAAUGAAAAAGUGCGAAACCACAUGAGGGGUUUUUGAAAUUUUUCCUUUUUUUUUUUUUUUUUUUUUUAGACAUUGGUAGCAUGCUACUAUUGGCUCCUCCCUUGAACUGUGAAGUGGCUUAAUGUCCAGGCAUUUUUUUGAUGUAAUAGAAGUAGCAAAUUAUGUAUUCUAUUUUUAAGAAAUGUCAUGUCCACUUCAAGUAAAAGAUAUGGGCCAUAUUUGGAGAUGUUGUAGCACUUGGUUAUCUCUGUUUGUUAAAAGUUGUUAAGUUAAAUAGUUAAAAAAAAAAAGGGUAAUAUAUUAAUAUGCCAUAAGUUAUGUUCAUGUGAAAACAAGAGGAAAAAGGGUUAGAUUUUUUUUUUUUUUUUUGGUACAAAACAACAAUUUCUUAGUUGAUAUGUUUCACCAAUUAGGAAAGACAAGUAGAAAUGAGCUGAAUAAAGGAGGCACAUGGCUCCCUGUCCCAAUUAAUUUAAGCAACAAACUUGGGUUCAAGUACAGUUGAAGGUAAAUUUCAAUUGGUUCCUGUGUAACUUGCCCUGUAAUUUAUACUACACUACAUAUCAUGUGGCCUAUAGAAUAUAAAUUUUGUUAUCUUACUCAAUGAUAUAAAUUAUUUGGACAUACUUGUUUUGCUGAAUACAGAGAACGACAAAGUUAUUUUUUGCUGUAAAUACUGCAAAUACUCACUUUUACUAUUAAGUACGUCGUAAAUUAUAUUCAGACAUAGUUUUACUUUUUCAAAAUUUCGUAAUUGAUUUCAUCCUAAGUAAUGCAGAAGUUAAUUACGAAAGAGAAUUAAAUAACAAAAAAAACAUAAAAAUUUUAAGUUUAUAGCUUUCUUCAUACUUUUAUCGACUAGAAUAAAUUUUUCAGAGAGAUAAGUAGAAAAAGAAUUACUAUAGUUCAAAAGUCAUUAAAUUUUUAUAAAAUAAAUAUGUGAAAUUCAGUCCAACUAAAAAGCAAUUUUCAACCUAAAAUUCAAUUACUAGCACUUUACAAUAAAACAAAAGGCAAAAGUACAAAGUGGCAAAAGUGAGACAUUUUAAACAACAUAAUUAAAUUAACUCAAAUCUUCUAGAAUGGCAUUUUUGUAGUUUUGGAGAAGACCAAGGGCUUUUACUAAGUGACCCUCAUGUACCAACCACAGGGGCCUAGGUCUCUCUAGUGAGCUAAAACAAAUAUAAUUCCUCAUUUCAACCUCAUAAAACAAACUUAAAGAGAGAGAUUAAACAAAGCUUAGUGAAAGGGAUGGACAUGUGCAUGGAAGUUAGAAGGUCUCCCAACAAUUUUUUGUUUUCUCCUCUCAAAAUUUUUUUUUUAUUUAAUCACACAAACAAGAUAAUUUUUGGUCAAAUUAGUUAACUAACAAGAGAGAUUAAUUAUUUAUUAGAGAUCAUAUUUAGUUAAAGAUUCGGCGUGUAUAUAUAUUCUGCUAUUCCUUAAAUAGAGACUAAUAUAAAUUCAUAUUGCGUAGACGUGAAAAUAAUGGCAAAAAUAUUGAUUUUAGAGAAUUACUAAUUAAUCAGCUAAUUAACAAAAGAAAAUAAAUAAGAUUACUGUAUAAAUUAUUUACGAUAACAUUUACCCAAUAUUUGAAUAAUAAUUUGGGAUAAAAAAAACACAGGUAAAGUUAAAGAAUUCUAAUUAUCUAAUAGUAACAACAACCAUGGUCUCAAUGCUUUAAAAGAUGUUACCUUAUUCAUUCCAAUUGUGAAAAUGUGUUAAUUUAUCUUUACAGCAUUAUUAAUUUCGAAGACCAUUAUAAAUAGUCAUUAAUUAACACCCAAGUCACAAAGACAAAACUAUAAUAACAAUAUUUUGUGGUAAUUUGUGCAUAUUGAUUGUGGCAAGGAAACAUUGUAUUACAUUCAUUUAAUAGCUAGCGUACGUAAAAUGUACAUGCAUAUAAUUAAAAAUGUAGCAGUUACAACUAUAUGCAUCCUACUUGGUUGGAUGCAGUAAAAAGCGCUGCAACUAUAAAUAAUAAUUUAUUUAAUUGCAUACAGUUGAGAAAUGAUUUUUAAAAAUUUAUCAUUUUAUAUAUAUAGUGGUGAUAUUACCUCAAAUGGAAAAAAUUUUGCUUAAAAAAUAAUUAAGAAGCUAAGUAUAUCUUUUGUUUAAAAUUACUCUCUCCAACGGCUGCAGUUGGAACUACGGCUAAUUUGGACGUAGUUCCAACUAUUACAGUUAGGCCUCUUUUUUGCAGUUCGUACUACAACAGUUAAAAAUAAAUAUAUCAAAUCAAACACUGAAAGCAUGUAAUUACAACUGUGCUGCAAAUAUAACUGCAUUUAACCAAACGGUUCUGAUUUUUUUGGAAAAAUAUAAAACUUUAUUUUUCUUUUUCUUUUUUUUUGUAGAAACAUACUUUUUCACAGUUUUUUAUUUUUGAAUAAAAAAUCAAAAAAUUUUGGGAACUAAACACCCCCUAGUUUGGGGGUAUUCUCUAACAAUUAAAUAACAGCACAAGUGCAUCAAAAAAAUAAAGUGCCUAAGAUUCGUCCCAACCCCCAAAAGAGCCUUUUGUUUUGGACUUGGCAUGAUAUUAUAUUAUAUUAUAGUAAGAGUGGUUGGAGCCAAAUUUGUCAAUUCAUAAAAAUGUUCCUCUUUGUCACGUAGUUGGAUUUGAUUCUUUAUGAGACAAUAUCAACAAUGCAAUCAUAGGAAAAUAGCCAGUGCCAAAUGAAAAAUAAAUAAAUAAAGGACGUGGAAGGAAAUAAAGAUAAAGAAUAUACGUACAUGAGAGAGGAACCUGUAGUAACUUUGUUAGUGGGGAGGCAAUUUCGUCUAUGAAAUUAUAAACUUAAAAUUUUAUUGGCACAGAAAUGUAGCUUUUUACAAGGUUCAGAGAUCGAUCAAUUGAAAGAGAAUUUUUAAAGAUAAACUUCAAAUAUCAUCUUUGUAAUUUCGUACUUUCUCACUUUAGCACCAUAUGAUUUAAACUUUAAAGUGUAUCAAUUUAACACCCUAUGAUUUCAAUUUUUUCUUUGCGUCAGUCCCUCUGUUAACUUUUCGUUAAAUCAUAUACAAAAAAUUUCAGAUAUCCCAUCUAUAGUUUAUCGAAUAUUCACUUUAGUGCUCUUUAGUUUUAACUUUGCUGUUGAUUUAACGAAAAAAUUAGUAGAGAAAAUAAUAAAAAAAAAAUAAAAUUAUAGUGUAUAAAAGUAGUACACUUUAAAUUACAAAGUAUUAAAGUGAAAAAGUGCGAAACUAUAAGAGUGGUAUUUAAAGUUUUUUUAAUUUUUAAUAUAGAUUUUAAUGUGGUGGGCAGCUUAGUUGACGUAAAAAUUUAAGUGAAAUAAGUUCAUGCUCAAGGUUAUGAUAAAGGAGUUUUUAAGUUGUGGAGAGGUAUGGUUUUUGUUUUUUCCAAGAAAAUCAUUUAUUAGUCUCUUACAUCAUAAAAUAAAAAGAAGAAAAUAAAAGAGCCAUGAACAAGGAAAAGUCUUUAAUGGCACCACAUACAAAAUAUUUCAAACUAAUCUUCUGUGCUGUACAUAGGGAUGUCAAUGGAUAUGAAUAUCCGAAAUUUUAUCCAAACUCGAACCCGAAUGAAAUGGAUAUAUCUGAUGGAUAUGAAUAUGAAUUCAGAUAUGGAUAUAAAAAAUAAAAACCCGACGGAUAUGAAUUCAGAUAUGGAUUUUGAUUGUAUCCAACCCGAACCCGAACCCGACCCGAACCCGAAUUUAUUUUGUAUUAUAUAUAAUAUAUAUAUAAAAAUUUGAUGUUAUAUUUGAAUUUGUAUUUUAAAUAUUUAGAUUUAAUACAAUAUAUUUUGAAAUAUUGAAAAAAGAAAUAAUUGUUUCGGAUUCAAAUUUUCGGAUUCGGGUUCGGAUUCGGGUUUCGGAUUUUUGGUCAGGUUCGGAUUUGGAUAUGAAUUUUUAGAAUCCGUCGGGUUUGGGUUCGAGUUCGGGUCUCGGAUUUGGAGUUGGGUUCGGGUUCGAAUUUUAAAAAUCUGUCCCGAAUUCAACCCGUUGACAUCUCUAGUUGUACAGGAUAAUUAAGGACAAUAUGGCAAUUUACUAUAAAAUAAUAUUUUAAGAGAAUUUUGUUAUACUUCUCUAUUAUGUCAAACCUUUUUUUAUCAAUUAUUACUAUUCCUUUGUGGAAUAACUAUAACAAAAAGGACUAUUUAUCAUCUUACAUGGCGCAAUAAGAUAGAGUUGAAAUAUAUGAGUUGUCAUGCAAGUGUUACAUUGAAAAUUAUAUUCCAACUAUGAAAGUAACAUUACAUGAACGAGGGAACAUGCCAUUGUUGUGCUUAAUUUUCAAUCCCUCUGUACAAUUUCUAAAUUAAGUGUGAGAUUUACACUAUCUAUCUAAUUUUUUUAAAACUAAAAUUUUAAAAAAUCUUUGUGAAUCUUUAGAUGCAAAAGGCGUAAAGUGUACAUUUAUAUACUGAAACAUAUACCAUUUUUCUGAAAAUAAUGCAUGUACAUUUAGUACGGUACCACAUCAAUAAUAACAAGUUAAUUAUAUAUUUUUUUAAAAAAAAAUAUGCGAUAAAAAUAUUUUUUUAUAAUUAUUAUUUGUCGGAUAAAUUUUAAAAAAAUUAUUUAAUUGGUUGAAAAGGUAUAGUCUAGAAUUUAUUCUUUUUAAGUUAUGAUUGAUGCUAGUCCCUCAAACCAGAGAAACUUUUUGAAUGGUGAAUCAUGUAUUCCCAAUAAAUUCAAGGGGCAAUUUCAUUCGUACCCCUCAAAAGUUCAAAAUUAUUAUAGAUGCCCUUACAUAAUUUGAAAUAUCAAACUUGCCCCUACAAAAUAUUUACUUUGUUUCAAAAAUACCCUCAACUCAUUUUAAUCUUAGUUAUACCAUGAUAUAAUGAAGUUUAAUAAUUAACUAUUAAACUAUUAAAUGAAUUUAUGCUAGUUUCAACUGAAAAUUAGUCAAAGGUAUUAAAUUUAAUGAAAUAAUUAUCUUAAUUUGUGAAAAUUUUCAUUAUCUAAUUUUUUUUAAUUUAUUAUUUAAAACUAUUAUUGGUUCAUGUAAAGUCCAUUGAUUAGAAGAAUUUAGUUUAUCCUUUUAAUAAUAUAACUAUUUUUUUUAUUUGAGGUCGGAUUUCAUACUAAUGCUCUUAGUUGUAAUGUAUUCAUAGUGACGAAUUUUUUCUAUAUUAAGUAGUCAAAUAAAAAAAAUUUAUUACUUUACAAUUGAUGUAGUAAAAAAAGUAGAUAUAACUAAAAUAAAUUAUCUUUUCAUUCUGACAAUAAAACAAAAUGAAAUUUAAUUUAACUACAAUUUAUUCCAAAUAGAAAUAUUUAUUUAAUUAAAAUGAAUAAUUUUUUAAACUAAAAUCAAUUGAAUUUUACUAAAUUUUUAGUCUAGAUAGAAUUUAAUUAAUUUUGAAAUAUAAUAGAGGGUAUUUAUGAAAUAGAAUUAUUAAUUGACUAAUGAAUAAUUAAGAGGGGUAAAGUUGGAAUAUAAAUAUUAUUAACUUUAAUAUGGAUUGGAGACUUGAAUGCAGUGAUGUUUUUGAAAGUUUUUAAAUUGAGAAGGUAUACAUGAUAUUUCAAUUUUAAAGAGACAUUUAUGAUAUUAAAGCUUUUAGAAGGUAUAAAGAAAUUUUUCCUAAAUUGAAACCUAGAUACUGAUGUCUGUCUUUUCAACAGAAAAAUGAUUGUGUUUCAAAAAAAGCUGACACCAAUCACUUCACUAAUGAAGAGCAAGUUAUAAUAAUAUAUAUAUAUAUAUAUAUAUAUAUAUUAUAUAUAUAUAUAUAUAUAUAUAUAUAUAUAUAUAAAUUGGCUGGAAUACUAUUAAUGUAAAAAGGCUCUUUUGCUUUCAAGUUUUUAAUCCUUGGAUGAAAAUUGUAGGGUCAGAAUGAUAUAGUCGAUUAAAAUUGAGUGGUCCCCCUAGGGUUGAGUGGUCCCUACUGGGUUAUAAUAUUUAAUCCAAUGGUUAGAAAUAAUGAAAAGAGUUGAUCCAAAAGCUAAAAAACUGAUAGCAACAAUGAAAUUUUGCUACUAAUAGUAACCCAGUCCAACUCUCUCUCUCUCUCUCUCUCUCUCUCUCUCUAUAUAUAUAUAUAUAUAUAUAUAAAAUUGAGCUCCUAUGCUUUUAAAAGUAUCAAGUCAUUGGUGCUUGUAAGUUUCGACCCUUGGAUUAAGGAAUGUGCGGUUACGAUGAUGCGAGCCCCCUAGGGUUGAGUGGGUGGUUGGUUGAAUAGUAUAAUUUAACGAGUAAAAAUGAUCAAAGGCGUAGAUCUAACGGUAAAAAAUUUACAAGCACCAAGUGCUUGGUACUUUUACAAGCACCAUAGCCAGACUAUAUAUAUAUAUAUAUAUAUAUAUAUAUGGGAAAAGGAGCAGUAUUAAGUAUGUAAUAACACUACAAAAUUUGCCACAUAUUUGUAGACAGAUAAAUGCAAGUUGCACUUUCCUGUACUUUCAUGCAAUAAUAAUAAUGCAGAGCCUUUUUUUUUUUCUUUGUUUUUUUCUUAACCCCUAUACAGAAAAAGCAUCACUUUCCUUUUCAUUUCAUAAAUAAACAAGAAUUCAAGUUCCUGUUCUACAUGUUGUUCUAGCUUAGGCUCAAAAAAAAUAUUACAAUAAUAAUAAUAAUAAUAAUAAUAAUAAUAAACACACCAAUGGGCCUAUGCUGUGUAUAUGAGAUUUGCUCAAUAGUGAGCAGAGAACAGAUGUAAAGGCACUUUAUGCCUGCUGUGGGGGAGGCCCAUGAGACAGUCUGAAACCCAGCAUUUCUUUGUUGGGUUGUAUUUUGGGAAAUUGUGCUUCCUUCUCUUUUGCAGACAACAGCAAAUGGAUUAAUUAUGCUCUUCUGGCCUUGGUGUUGUCAUUGUGAAAUUGUGGGCCAAGAAAUAAAAAUAUAUUAUUAUUGUACAUAUAUAUGUGAGCUAGGUAGGUGAUAAAGAUGCUACUUAUUAGAUGGACAACUCAAGUAGCCUUCCUUACAGUAGCAUUAUCAGCACUAGCUCAUCAGUUUGAUGCCAUUUGCAUCGGCUUUAGGCAACAUCUACAGAAAUUAGAGGGCCUAUUGGAACUUUAUAUAUAUAUAUAUAUAUAUAUAUAUAUAUAUAUAUAUAUAUAUAUUCCAGCUAUGGGCUGUAUAAAUUUUUUACCAGUUAGAUGUACUCCUCGGAUCAUUUUCACAUAGAUUAUACUAUUCAACCUCAACCACGCCACUCAACCCUAAGAGGGUCACAUCAUGCUAACCGCAUAUCUGCUUAAUCCAAUGACUAAAAACUACAAGCAGCCAAUAGCUUGAUACUUUUAAAAGCAUAGGAGCUCAUUACAUAUAUAUAUAGAGGUAGGCUGAUAUACUAUCGUAGCACUGAGCCCUCCGUGCUAUGAAGUUAUUUUCAAUGAUCAUAUUCCAAGUAGACGAUCGGCUCCGUUAGACUUGAUCUACACUAUUGGAAGUAUUUGAAAACUAAAUUUUAUAUUUUUUUUCGGUAUCAUUUACCUAUCAAUUGGAGCUAGUCUAAAAAUGAACGGCUAAAAAUAAAAAAUUUCAUAAAAAAUGAUGAUAAAAAUUGAAUUUAAGAUCAGAGGUACGGAUCUUAAUCUAAUAUAGUGAAACAAAUUUCUAUAAAAUUUUCAUCAAAUUUGAAUUAUUUUACCCGUUAAAUUCAAACACCACUUCACUCUACAUUAAAUUUGCAAUUCUUUGAGAAUCUUUUAUCACUAGCUAAAUGAUUCGAAAAAUUAUAAAAUUUAGCUUUCCAAAUACUUUUUAAUAGUGUAAAUCAAGUCUAACUAAAGCGAUCGUCGAUUUGAAAACUGCAUCAUCGAAAACAACUUGGUAGCACGAGGGGCCUCUGUGCUACCGAUAAUAUACCGGCCUAACACUCUCUCUCUCUCUCUCUUCUUCUCUCUCUCUCUCUCUCUAUAAUAUAUAUAUAUAUAUGUUUGAACAAGUUAAACACUAAUAAUUCGCAAACUUUUAAGAUAAUAAAUUCCACUCUCAGUUAGUUUAUCCUAUCCAAGAAAAGACGGACGACAUCUUUUAUCAUUGCUUUGGGAUGUAGUGCUGUUGUGUGUGAAUAAAGCGGUGUUUGGAAAAGUACUUUUAGAAUAAUAUAAUAAUAAUAAUAUAUAUAUAUAUAUAAUAUAUAUAUAUAUAGUAAAAAUAGAUUUAUCUGCAGCAAAAGUAGAAGCACUAAAUUAGAGCGUCUACUCUGAGUUUGCGUCUACUCUAGGUCUCAGACUAUUUUUCAAUCCAGCCGCAGCAUAAGUACAUUUUGUUUUUUAAUUUUUGUUAGAAUGUAAAUGCAAUGUAGGCGAAACGCGUUAAUCCGCUAAAACAUCAUCCUUAGGAAGGACUCUAACAAUUCAACUAAAAUUCAAACUCGAACUAAAUUAUCUGGAGAUAACUUACUCUGACAUCCAUACUUCUCCGUAAGAGACACGCCAGGGAUAACAAUGUAUGGAUAUGCCUUAUACUAAUAGAAAUGUCAAGUUGGCCUUAUUAGCAGGCCCAGUGAAAACAUCGGAAUCAACCGGCCGGACGAAGAAAGCCCAUCCAAGCAAGCGCAGCCAAUAAACUACUACGCUUGGGUUCAGAAGCGGAGAAAAUGGCAUAGGAUCAGCCCAGGCGAACUAAUUACUGUUCUUACUAAAAAAAAUAAAAACAUAGAAAUAUAUGAAAAAAUAACAACUAAUAACGCAACCUUAAACAAUUCAAAUAUUGGUCCGAUCCACAAUUUAUAUAUCUAAAAGAGUUCUACUACUUUUCCCGUCUUCCUGAAUACUGCUUUUCUAAAAGACUAUUUAAUGCUUUAUAAAUAAUGUAAUAGAUAAAUAAAUAAUAUAAAGCUAUUUAAUUAAUUCAUACUGUAGGUCAAAAUAAUAAUAUGAUUAUUUUACAAAUUGACGUACAGGCGAUAGGUGAAGGUUAAAAAAAAGAAAAAAAAAAAAUCAGCAUCGAAUCCACUAGCAACUGCAGCGAUAGUGAAGACCGUCAAAAUAAAAUAGCAAAAAAAUAUAAAAAAUAUAGAAUAAAAUCUCUUUUAUUCAUCCCCCGCCCAAGGAACGUUUGUGAGGCAGAUCAACAGACAAAAAUUUUGAGCACAAUCCCCAUACUAAUAGUCUUGGACAGUGUGGAUGUACGCCACAUGCGCCGAUCUGUCGGGUUGCCCUUCUCUACUGCUUUCUCUCUCUCUCUCUCUCCCAAAACACAGGUUUUUUUUUUCUUUUUUUUCUUUCAAUUGAUGGCUGUCGCGGAUGGACCACAUAGCUCCAUAUGUAAGUUCUCGCAAACGAAUUAAUUCGGGGAUCAUGUCUAUAAAGAUUUUCUGUAAUGCAAUUUCUUAUAUAUCCUAAAAAUUUUCAACUUUCUGAUUUAACCAUCUUAGAAAGCUAAUUAAAAUACUCUUUUUUGACUUUUAACUUAUUUCAGAUAUAUCCCUAGAGUUAAAAUCUUAAUAAACUCUGUUAUCUGUAAUAAAAUUACUAUUUUUCUUUCAAAAAUUACACUUCCACCAUCAUCGGGCUUAAGACUUCGUUUGGAUUGCAGGGAAUGUACGUUACGUGCAGUGAGGUUAGUCUCGCCUCCUUGGCCUUCGUGGCAUGCGAUGUCGCGAAACCCGGACCUCGACGAUAGAGGCGUGCGGAUUGUAGUCGCGCGGCGCCGAAAACGCCGUGGAGCGCAGAGCUUGGCUAUACUGCAUAUUGUACAGUGGGGAGAACUUUAAGUCCUUGGGCUGGCGACGAAGGCAGCAAGGCAUUUCGGCUUAUGAGGCACUCUCGAAGGAGAAUGUUUGGCAAGACGGGAGACACUAAGCUUAGGUGACGUCACCUCGUAUUUGGGGUUUGCUCGUUGGGGACUCGGGAGUCCGCGAGGGGUUCGUACAGGCCAAGGGCGUUAGCUUUUUCGCCACAAAAUCCGCCGCGCGCUCAAGUGUCGCCCACAACCGAGCCAGCCUUCUCGAGCCCUUCACGGCGGACAAGUCUCCACCACUUAACGGCAGGAAUACCAAUCCAAGCAUGUUUGCCAAGCUUGCUCUCCCAGUAUUACAGCCGCACCCUUCGCCUGUAAUCAACCCCUGUCGGACCUCCUCGAGUUCUCCAUACGAGCAACCCCAAAUACCGAGCGUUGUUGCAAGCUAGGUGUCUCCCUGUCUUGCCAACGGAGAUCUCUCUCACGAGUGCCUCAUAACGAAUGCCUUGCUGCCUUUUCGCCAAGCCCAAGGUAAUUACAAGUUCAUCCCCCCAACUUGUUACAUAUGAGUAUACGCCAAGCGUCUCGCCUCCCACGCGGUUUUCGCUCCCCCCGGCGACAAUCCGCACGCCUACUAGCCGUCGAGCGUCGGCGGGCUUCGCGACAUCGCAUGCCCACGAAGGGGGGACCACUCAAUAACCAUAAAGUUCCUCACACGUGUUCUCAUUGCGCCGACAACGCAUGCCUACGGCCUAUGCGCGCCGUCGCUGCUCGGUCAACGGCUUACUCCAAAAAGCACCCAAGUGUGCGCUCACACCGCUUGCCCCCAACAUCAGCACCUCAGCAAUGACACCCCAGUCACGGUCCGCUUCGCCACCUCCGUGCUUCGCAUCUACGCGCGUGGCGGCCCUCGUGUCCCAUCGCUCCCUGAAUAGGGACACCAACAAGUCCAGCACGUGCUUCUCGACCGUCUAACGACCUUCGUUCUGCCCGGCCGCUCCGGCCCUUCGAUUCCAUAGGUUCGCGCUCAUAAGCCCAUACAACGAACUGGCCUCGCUCCGCAUCGCUAGCCAAGGCUGGCCCCGUCCUUGCUCGAUCCACGCCUUGGCGCUUACACGAGCUGGUCCCAGUCUCUCAAGGUUCACUAUACGGAUAACCGAAGCUUGCCUCCUUGGUUCCGCCCCGUCGAGUCUCGUAGGUUUCACCUUACCGAAUUCUCACUCGGCGUGCUACCUUUAGCGUCCCUAUCGAGUUCGUCCUCCUUGGCCUUCGUGGGCGCCGCCCCCACGAAAUCCCCGGCUCGGCACACCUUGCCUUCGCGAGCCUUGUCCUUUACGGAGGGACCGUACCGGUCGUAGACUAUCCUCAUCCGCUCGUACGCUCCACUACAAGGAUCCAGCGGCCUAAGGUAGUCGCACUGCGAACCUAGGAAGAAAGCCUCCCGGUAUUCCCUCGGCUCCGUAAUGUCGUCGACACUCGUCCAGUCUCCGACAUUUACCCAGCCGUGAAUAUUCCCCUUCAACCGUCCAUUAACCGGCUACACGGAACGCUAGGCUUGGCUACUCCGCUAGCCAGGACGACCCAUGUCCUAUGGGUCGAGGGGGAGUCGGGGCCACUUACGAAGUGUCCCACCCCUCCUCUAAUACCGCUUACGAGGCAUCCACUCCUUUGGCACCCCGGGGGUACAAAGGUGCUCACCGAGGGGUACGUUUUCCAACCCGCAUGCGGCAUCCUAUUUCCAAGUCAUGGCACGGGCCAUUGCUAGGGAAUUGCCUCCGUUAGACUUGACAGCGAUCCUACCUGACGGAACGCCUCAACUCCGCAACUCCAUAACUUCGUCAACCCAAGUGCCUAACCAAAUAUGCCCAAAGGUGUCCACGGUCGAGACCCAGCGAUCGACCGUGACAGCUCCCCACUUGAAUCAUCGACUCCUCGUCGAUGCUUUAAACUUCUUCAAACUCUUUGCGCAGCAGUACUACUCUUCAGACCAGAGCCACCCACGGCCUUGGCAAUCGCAUGCCACGCUGACGCUGCCCUCCAGAGUUCGUCUGCUCAACAACGCUUCUGAAAAGCCCAUUGGUCCUCCUCGACCAUCCAUCUCAUAUACAUGUUCUGUCCCUCCCUGAGUUAGAGCUCCCCAGCCUUGGUGCCUCGCUCGCACCACGCUAACUCCUCCACGGAACCAGAACUGAAACUCAUAAUCCCUCGGAUUGCAAGGUUGUACUGGCACUCCUCCAUAACUUGGUUCUCUCCAUCGGAGCUACUCGGCCUCAACGCCCACUUCGCCCUGACUUAACCAAAGUUCCCUGAGUCCAGUAGCCAACCUUAUAACUCCUUCUCAAGGAAAUAGUCCUCCGACUAACUUUCCCUCUCUGGGAUUCAAGGUCAUAUAUCCAUCGACCUUGGACUUGGGGUUAGACUCCAAACGUCCCUCGUCUUGGAGUUCUCCACGCGAAUCAGCACGCUGCUCGUCUUCGCCUUUGCCCUUUACCAUAACAUCAGGUUUCGUGCCUCUCCUUAAGCACCUACGACAGAUCCUCGAUCCGACGUUCCCAGCCUUAUACGGCGAGUCCUUCCACUCGACUCCCGAUCUCAUCGGCGGUGAGUUCCUCCACUCGAACUCCCGCUCACACAUACGGCGAGUUCCUUCACUCGAACUCCCGUCCUCAUAUGCGACGAGUUCCUCCACUCGAACUCGCGCUCCAAUGUAUUAAAGUUUGUCUUAUUGAAUCUUAUAGGUACAACUCUCGUGGGUACUCAUGCCAUACUCGUGCCCUCUCCGCAAACAACUUUUGCCACCCCCAAUGCCUCCACAAUCGCACAACGUCGAGCUCCACCCCUGGUCUCCUCAAGCUUUCAAGACUUUCGUCGGGACUAGCCGGCCUCGACUACUUUCUGCUCUACUGACUUUACCACGGACCCUUGUUAUGCCUCCUGACUGCUUUGCAUUUCGGCUACUUGUUGAUGCACGGCACCUUUAGCCUUUGUCCCACAAACCCGCUCAAGCCCUACUUCGUUAGGCUCUCGCAGAAUUCCACUUCGAUUCGCAAUCAAAGUGUUCGGCCAAGUUCGAGCCUAUCGGACCCCUUGUCUCUUUUCGCUCGCAACUUGCCAUAUUCCAACUCUAGGGAAACCACCCUCAUGGUUGAUCGCUAAGCGGAACUCAGUUCACUCUCUGCUUAGUCUGAACCGCAAGUCUGGUUGCCACGGCAAUGCCGCUACCCUGCGCGCACCACCCUUACAGAACUUCGAUACCUCGACCCUUCCCGCAGUUGCGAACUGUCCAUACUCCAACCAGCACCAUGAUCUCGGGUGAAUCCACACACCGCUCAACCCGACUAGGGAUGUCUCAUCCGUCCAACUCGUGGGCACAUUGUAAAGAGCAACCGAUCUCCACACCGGCCUUCUCGCACCAAGAGGAGUGCUAAGCUCUCUCGCAAUCCUUGGUCCCCUUCACAACUUAGUCCAACGUCUAGCUGUUACUACCAUGGAUUCGUCGGCCUAGACUUCCAACUUGAGCUCCACGAAGCAAACUCUUUUACCACAUGUGUUGUAUCCCACUUCCUGUCAUAGACGAGCUCCUUUACCGAGUCUUUGCGCAUGGGAGCACUUAAUGAACAAACGUGCUCCCCCACUCUGAGUCGCUCCACCACCAAGCGCACUCAGAUCUCACAGGCAUUCUCAAUGCCCCACCUUCCGCUCUGCUAGCUCCGACUCUGCCACAGCCUUCACUAUUCCCGCAAGCGAAACCAAUGUCAUCCAUCCAAUGGAUACAUGUAUGCUACCUCGAGCCACCAACGCUGUCACCGUUCUGCUCGAAGCUAGACUUACCACCUCACUCCGCGAGUUAAGGUUCCAACCUCAAUCCAUUCUCUCGCACAAAGAUGCCGUCUCUUUCCAUUUCAUGGACACACCCCAAAGAGUCAUCGAUCUCCCCAUCGAUCUUCCUUUACCGAGAGAGAAGUACUGGUCCAUCGAGUAGCCCUUUGGUAUUCCCGCAACUUUGGUCGAAGCUGCUCCCAACGAAGACUACUGCCCGUCAGACUUCAAACUCAGCAUACACGAAGUAAACUCUUUCGCCCAGUGUUUCACCGCCCAAUCCAUAUCCUUUCGAGAAGCACCAUCGUCGAGGAUUCACAUUUGGGGAUACAUCUCCACCUUAUGUACUCCCCCCACACUGAGUCGUAGCACCUCUGCACAACUCAGGUCUCUCGGGCAUUCGCAAUACCCAACUCCGCGGCAAAUCCAACCACGGACCGCAAACUGAUUCUUCAUAAUCAUUGCCCCAUCGUCUGCCACACGACUAAGGCCUUAACCAUUUCUCCAUCCUGAGAAUGACUUGGAAAUCCUCACAGGGUACCGACAUGAACUUGGCUUUCACCCCACCACGAGUCCACACCAACAGGCACCUCCCCCGCAAGACCCGCAAUAGUCUGGGCCUCCGAGCUCCUCGCUGUUAUCUGACUCUCAUCCAUGCGUAGUGCAAGUCCGAACCACCCGGCUUCACUCACCGCAAAGAAUUCGUGGGUAGCACCAAUAUCCAUCACAACUCAACUCCGCAUCUCUCACAAGCGAAGUAUUGUCCCAAUGCAUUGUCGGCUCCAAGUCCUUCCGUCAGAGUGACUCUGCUCACUCCAACGUCGCCGCCAAGGUCGCACCUUUCGGCCAAACUUCCGUCCCAAAUGAGCUCAACAUAGCUCUGAUACCACCUGUUUGUUUCCGUACUUCAUGUCGGUUACGAUAUAUUUUCUGCGGUUUCACUGGAAAACGCAGAAGCAUAUCCCUAUAUGCUUUUUACUUUUUUUCUCAACUCCAUUUUAUCUAAUAGCGUUAGAUAGACCUCAAUACCAAGCUAAGCCUAAGUCAAGGGCACAAAAGAUAUUUUGACUUUUGAUCUUUUUUAAAUAUAUCCCUCUACCGUCACCAACAUUUCUUAUUUGCCCUUAAGUUAAGGACAAAAUUGACAUUUUAAUUUUUUUUAACUAUAAUAGAUAUUUAACUCAUAUUUAACCCAAAUUAACUUCACCCGUCGUAAUUGUAAGAAUAUUUUAGAAUAACAGAGAAACAUACAAAAAAUAUAUUGAAAAAAAUAAAAAUAAAAAUAAAUGAUAUAUUUUUAAAGUUAUGAAAAAUAUAUAAUUUUUUUUUAGGGCGUAAAACCCCCCAAACUAAUUAGUUCCCGAGAUCAUGCGCAUAAAAUUUUUGUCGUGCAACAACACAUGCCUCCGGGGAAUCCGGAGUCAGCGGUAAUUUCACCUUCAGUCAUAGUGAGUGUGUGACGCGACUCACAAUCGGGGAUCUUCUAGAUCGUUCGCCAGGGGGGACACCGCGUCGCCUCUCGAACGUUCCCUCCCCGCCUAUUAAUCCCUCUCCGUCCCUCCUGUCCCCGACCAAACCCUAGAAAAAAAAAAAAAGGGGCAUUCGGAGAGAACGAAGGAAAGCGUCGGUGAAUCUAAUGGCGGAUUCGGCCCUGUUCGACACGGCGGUGAGCCACCUCUUCCACCUACCGGAGACGCUCGAGAGGCUCGUGUUCCCCUCGCCGCGNAUAUAUAUAUAUAUAUAUAUAUAUAUAUAUAUAUAAAAAAUAGAUUUUAUCUGCAGCAAAAGUAGAAGCACUAAAUUAGAGCGUCUACUCUGAGUUUGCGUCUACUCUAGGUCUCAGACUAUUUUUCAAUCCAGCCGCAGCAUAAGUACCAUUUUGUUUUUUAAUUUUUGUUAGAAUGUAAAUGCAAUGUAGGCGAAACGCGUUAUCCUAAAACAUCAUCCUUAGGAAGGACUAACAAUUCAAACUAAAAUUCAAACUCGAACAUAAAUUAUCUGGAGAUAACUUACUCUGACAUCCAAUACUUCUCCGUAAGAGACACGCCAGGGAUACAAUGUAUGGAUAUGCCCUAUACUAAUGUAAAAUUGCAAGUUGGUCCUUAUUAGCAGAGCCCAGUGAAACAUCGGAAUCAACCGGCCCGGACGAAGAAAGCCCAUCCCAAGCAAGCGCAGCCCAAUAAACUACUACGCUUGGGUUCAGAACGGAGAAAUGGGCAUAGGAUCAGCCCAGGCGAACUAUUACUGUUCUUACUAAAAAAAAUAAAAACAUAGAAAUAUAUGAAAAAAUAACACUAAUAACGCAACCUUAAACAAUUCAAAUAUUUGGGUCCGAUCACAAUUUAUAUAUCUAAAAGAGUUCUACUACUUUUCCCGUCUUCCCUGAAUACUGCUUUCUAAAAGACUAUUUAAUGCUUAUAAAUAAUGUAAUAGGAUAAAUAAAUAAUAUAAAGCUAUUUAAUUAAUUCAUACUGUAGGUCAAAAUAAUAAUAUGAUUAUUUUACAAAUUGACGUACAGGCGAUAGGUGAAGGUUAAAAAAAAGAAAAAAAAAAAAUCAGCAUCGAAUCCACUAGCCAACUGCAGCGAUAGGUGAAGGACCGGUCAAAAUAAAAUAGCCAAAAAAAAUAUAAAAAAAUAGAAUAAAAUCUCUUUUAUUCAUCCCCGCGCUCCAAGGAAACGGUUAUGUGAGGCAGAUCAACAGACAAAAAUUUUUUGAGCACAAUCCCCAUACUAAUAGUUUGGGACAGUGUGGAUGUACGCCACAUGGCCGAUCUGUCGGUUGCCCUUCUCUACUGCUUUCUCUCUCUCUCUCUCUCCCAAAACACAGGUUUUUUUUUUCUUUUUUUUUCUUUCAAUUGAUGGCUGUCGCGGAUGGACCACAUAGCAUCCAUAUGUAAAGUCUCCAAACGAAUUAAUUCGGGGAUCAUGUCUAUAAAAUUUUUGUAAUGGACAAUUUCUUAUAUAUUCCUUAAAAAUUUUCAACUUUCUGAUUUAACCAUCUUAGAAAGCUAAUAUUAAAAAUACUUUUUUUACGUUUUAACUUAUUUCAGAUAUAUCCCUAGAGUUAAAAUCUGUUAAUAAACUCUGUUAUCUGUAUAAAAUUACUAUUUUAUCCUUUCAAAUAUACACUUCCACCAUCAUCGGGCCUUAAGACUUCGUUUGGAAUUGCGGGGAGAUUACGUUACGUGCAGUGAGGUAGUCUCGCCUCCUUGGCCUUCGUGGCAUGCGAUGUCGCGAAACCCGGACCUCGACGCUAGAGGCGUGCGGAUUGAGUCGCGGGGGCGAAACGCGUGGGAGGCGAGACGCUUGGCUAUACUCAUAUUGUACAAGUUGGGGGAGAACUUGUAAUGUCCUUGGGCUGGCGACGAAGGCAGCAAGGCAUUCGGUUAUGAGGCACUCUCGAGGAGAGAUCGGUUGGCAAGACGGGAGACACCUAGCUUGGUGGCCAACCUCGGUAUUGGGGUUGCUCGUUGGGGACUCGAGGAGUCCGACGAGGGGUUCGAUUACAGGCNAAAUUACUAUUUUGUCCUUUCAAAUAUACACUUCCACCAUCAUCGGGCCUUAAGACUUCGUUUGGAAUUGCGGGAAGAUUACGUUACGUGCGGUGAGGUACGUUGAAAAAAUAUCCUGUUUGUUUCCGUACUUGCAUGUCGGUUACGAUAUAUAUUCUGCGGUUUCACUGGAAAACGCAGAAGCAUAUCCCUAUAUGCUUUUUACUUUUUUUUCUCAACUCCAUUUUAUCUAAUAGCGUUAACUAGGCCUCAAUACCAAGCUAAGCCUAAGUCAAGGGCACAAAAGAUAUUUUGACUUUUGAUCUUUUUUAAAUAUAUCCCUCUACCGUCAGCAACAUUUCUUAUUUGCCCUUAGAUUAAGGACAAAAUUGACAUUUUAAUUUUUUUUAACUAUAAUAGAUAUUUAACUAUUUUAGAAUAACGGAGGAACAUAUAAAAAAUAUAUUGAAAAAAAUAAAAAUAAAAAUAAAUGAUAUAUUUUUAAAGUUUUAAAAAAUAUAUAAUUUUUUUUUAGGGCAUAAAAUUUUUGUCGUGCAACAACACAUGCCUCCGGGGAAUCCGGAGUCAGCGGUAAUUUCACCUUCACUCGUAGUGAGUGUGUGACGCGACUCACAAUCGGGGAUCUUCUAGAUCGUUCGCCAGGGGGGACACCGCGUCGCCUCUCGAACGUUCCCUCCCCGCCUAUUAAUCCUUCUCCGUCCCUCCCGUCCCCGACUAAACCCUAGAAAAAAAAAAAAGGGGGCAUUCGGAGAGAACGAAGGAAAGCGUCGGUGAAUCUAAUGGCGGAUUCGGCCCUGUUCGACACGGCGGUGAGCCACCUCUUCCACCUACCGGAGACGCUCGAGAGGCUCGUGUUCCCCUCGCCGCGCCCCGACGAGGCCCACCGCGGCGUCCGCCACCGUGGCCACGGCGGAGGAGGCGGCGCCGCUGCCGAGCACGACGGUGAGAAGGGGUUCGGGAGCGUCCCCGCCGACGUGCUCGAGACCCCCAAGGAGUACACCUUCUUCCUCGACGUCCCCGGGUUCUCCAAGGCCGAUAUCCAGGUACUAAUUCUCUUCUGAGUUGUUAUAAUCGUAGCUUAAUUUGAGUAAUAAUAAUAUGUGAAAUUAACAUUUUUGUUGUGGGGGUUUUUUCAAAAAAAUUUUAUUUUUAAGAUGUUUUUACGUUGCAAUAGGCCUAAAUGUGAAUUUGAAUGAAAUGGAAGAAGCUUGUAUUUUAAUAAAAUAAUAAAAGUACUUUAAAUGAGGCUUUUGGCCUGCUAAGAUAACGCAGUGCACGGGUUAUAUUUUUAGAAUAAUUUUAAAAAAUUACUAAGUUAAAAAUUCAGAAUUUUUUUUUUUUUUUUUUUUUUUUUUUUUUUUUUUUUUUUUUUGCCUUAGAACCUCAUUUUUCAUCUGAUUUUUCACAAUUAUAGCUUAAAUUAUUAUAGAUUCUCUCACUGAGGGUACCUAAGUGGGCACUGGAAGUUGUAAUUUAAUCGAAUUUAUUUUUAAAAGUUUUGAAGAACUGGCUACAGAAGAAGUUAAUUUGAUAUUUCAAAUCCAACAAUGCAAGUUAUUGACCUUGGUAUUCAAACAUAGGUGACAUUGGAGAAUGAGAAGGUGCUGGUAAUAAAGAGUGCAGGGAAGCGAAAGAGGGAGGAAGCAGAGGAGGAAGGAUGCAAGUACCUGCGCCUGGAGCGGAGGGCCUCACCGCGAUUCUUGAGGAAGUUCCGGCUACCUGACGACGCCAAUCCGUCGGCGAUCACCGCCAAGUGCGAGAACGGCGUGCUUACCGUGGUCGUCGAGAAGCUGCCGCCGCCGGAGAGCAAGACAAGGACUGUUGAGGUUACAAUAGCUUAGGAAGGGUCUCAAUCAAGGGUGUUUUGUGAUUAAGUGAUGUAUUUUGUAUAAAGAAUUUGUAGUCACCAGUAGUUUUUUCGUUGCAGAUGUAAUGCGACUUUAUGUUCUCCUUUUGGGCAAGUAAUAGGUAGAUCCAUGCUUCUUUGGCUAUUUUUUUGUCUUCUUUCUCUCGCUUUAUAGAUACUGAGAUGAGAGCAGUAUUUAAUGACCGGGAAAAAAAGAGAAAAGAUACUCUGCAGUGAAUAGAAACUCCAAGGCUAAGAAUAAAAAAAGAAAUUUUGUUAUCAUCAAUAACCAAACAUAUGGACCUGCAUCUGGUAUAGCCCGAUCUGAGUCUUGUAUAGUUCUUGUUAAAAGGCACCAUUGCGAAGCCGCGUAUGCGUUGAAUACUUGAAUAUGCGCUGAAUUGGGUGCGAUCCAAACGAUGUAUCCCACAUGAUAAGUACAAGCCAGAGUCUUUGAAAUUUAUGUUCCUGCAUGCCAACAAAGCAGAAGGCUGAAAUUAAAGAUCCGUAAAAUGGAGUUGUCCUGUAAAACUAGCGAAAAAAAAAAAGUGAAAGGCAGGGGAGGGGCAAACAAAAAAAUAAAUAAAUAAAGUAAAAUAAAAUAAAAAGGGUUGAGUCGACUGUAUUAGUACUAACCUGUUCAUGAGGAUAAGGCAUGAUGUUGCUUUGAUCAGAUCUCCUUCUUAAGCCUUGGAUUAUCAAACACUUUGAUUCAUUCUCCCCAGGUAAACAGAAAGGAUAAACAAAUGCAAAUACACAUAAAACAAACAAACAUGCGCACAAAGCAAAAGGGAAAACAGGAUAAUAAAAUACCGAGAACCUAUUCUCGCCAAAUAAUAAAAUAGUGAGUGCUCGGCUAAGUAUAUAUAUAUAUAUAUAAUACCUGAUGCUAUAGCAAAAUCAUGUCUCUAUACAUGGCAUAUACACUGUACACUCACUUCACUAUACAUCUAAUUCUGCCAUGCUGUGUCAUUUGAUGUUUUAAGCAAUGACAGUUAUUCCGUCGACAAAAAAGGUGCAUCUCCACGUUGCAGAGAUAUUGAGAUAUCUCAAUCUCUAGCAUACUGCAUCAUCUCUAAUGCCAUUGCAGCAGAAAGACUUGCUCCAUGUAUCACUUUUAAGCUGAGUUUAUUCCUCCCCACCUCUCACAAAAUGUUUCACAAAGCGAUUACCUGUUUGAUUUACUGAUUCUGACUUAAAUAUUUAUGCUGUACCGAUUCCGCCUGGUUUCUCAUCAAAUUGUUGAUAAACCAAUUUAUUGGUGUCUCCAAAUAAUGCUCUCAAGAUACUGAUGAAGCAUUCUUCUGAUGUGGUUUUUGCGGAAAGAAGAGAAUUGCUAAUAAAGCACUGAAGCAAAGGCCAACGGCACCGUCAAAAGGGUGCAAAGGGUUGGUGCUCCUCAGCCAGAAAGGUGUGCCGGGCUUGUAUAUGAUGAAACCGCCAGUUUGUAACAUAUAAUUGGCGGUCAUAAUUCCUGCACGAAAGCCAAUUGGCGCAGCGAGCUUUCCAUGGGCAUUCUGCUUGAUUCCGGAAAGCACCAAAGAUAACAGAAAGAAACCUGGUAUUGAAGGUGGGGACCUGCAAUUUUUAUAAGACAUAAGAGCAGCUGCUUCUCUGUAUAGCUCAACUAGCUAUGUUGAUAAUUUAGUAUGAAAGAUUAUGAAUGUUAUUUGAAACCUCUACAUUUUCGAAGAAGCAAUUCGAAACCUCUAUAUUUUCGAAGUAAUAAAUGAAAAUUCUUAGUUCCUGCAUAUUUCCUUUCAAUAGCAUAAUUGUAAUAUUCUACAAAACAAUUGAGUUUCUAUAAGGAAAAUAUCAUCAUAAGUGCCUCAAAUCCUUGUGCCUCCAUUAACAUGUAAAUAGAACUUAGGUCCAAAAUCAGAGAUUCUGAAGGUAAAGCACAGGAAAGAAAAAACUUAAAAAGUGUGACAAACUAAAAGUGGAUCAGGAAUAGAUUGAAAGCUAGAAUGGAGUCAAACAAAAUGGCAAACAUACUGUCAACAAGUGUUUUUUGUGAACAUAUUCAUAUCUUCUCGUUUUUGGCAUAAAACAAUUGACUUUCUUUUUAAAAGCUUUAGCUUGUUCUCCAACUUUACAGCCGAACUGCCCCUCCACUGAAGGACCAAAGAAAGCAGUUUUUAUUGAUCAAUUUUGAGUUUCAAAUAUAUGGGACAAUGGUCUAAUAGCCAUUGUCCUGUAGUAAAGGAUUAAUUUGGCCCUAAAAAGUGAAAGCAGAUCAAUGUUGCAAAGAUCCUGCCUUUGCAACUUCAGGAAGAGGUGGACUUUUACUGCAAAAAGGCUGAACAAAACUGAAACAUACCUGUGAAUCAAAGAAAAUGCAAUACCGGAUAGUACAACAGCCUGGUAAUAUCCAAUAUCGACAGCAAUUUCCUCUGGAAGCCAUGACCUGAAUAAUAACUCUUCCACUAGAGCAAUGCCAGUUGCUGUAACAAGCCCUCUAACAACCAGCAUUAUUGUUUUUGUGUAAGUUCUGAGUAGGAUAAUAGCACCUGCUGAUAAUGACGGCAAGCUUGAAGGCCAAGAGAGGCAUGCAUAACCAAGUAAACCAUUUAUCGAAUGUAUACAUAAGACAACCAUAACCCCUCCAACCAAACCCUUCAGAAAAUCAUAGACCUGCAGCAAAUAUCUUAAAGUUAGCAACUGCUAAACUGAUAAUUCACAAAAAUGGGGAAAAAAAAGGAAAACUCUGCCAACAAUGUGAUAUGUCCUGGAAAAAAAUUAAAGGUGGAACUGCAUGGAGACCCUUCAAUUUGAAGAUCAUUUUGAAAUUGAUCCCUCAAAUUAUUUCAAAAAAAAAUCUCUCAAAGUUAGCAACUGCUAAUCCUUGGGACAGUGAAUUACAAAACUGAUAAUUCACAAAAAUGGGGAAAAAAAAGAGAAAACUCUGCCAACAAUGUGAUAUGCCCUGGGAAAAAAAUAAAGGUGGAAUUGCAUGAAGACCCUUCAAUUUGAAGACCAUUUUGAAAUUGAUCCCUCAAAUCAUUUCAAAAAAAAAAAUCCCUCAGCUGUAUUUUUUUUGAUAGAUAAACUAUUUCUUUCUUUGAUUUCAAAGAAAUCUUGUCAAUUCAAUUUGGGUCCAUUAAAACUAGUUGCUGUUAGCGAUUGGCCAUUAACUGUUAAUAGAAUAAACAGUUCGGGCAGCAGAAAACCAAGUAAAGCAGUUGAAUUUAACAGAAUCAUCAUUAUCUUUAAUGGUAUCACGGUAUCACUAAUUGAACUGGAGUUAUAUAAUAAACAAAAUACAUGUGUUAUAGGGUGUGGGAAAAAAAAGCCUAUUUAAAAAUAACCUAUAGUUGAGGGGUUUACAUUUUUACCAAAAUUAAAUUUCAUACCCUGGCUGCAGAUGUGAGUUCGAGCCCAUAUUGUUCAAGUGGAUCAUCAUACCCCCUAAUUCUUUUGCCCCACAGCAUGGUGAGGAUCAUUACAGAGACGUAAAGUCCUACUAUGCAAGCAUAGCCAGCGAUUCCAGUAGAAGAAUUUGUUGUCCAACUCUGAACAAGUGUUGGCAUAAGGGGAAUAACGACAGGAGACCAGAGAACAAGCACCAUGCAGGCAAAACCUAAAACCCUAAUGUUAAAGCCAAUAAAACAAUUAGAAAAAUCAAAAAAGAUGUGGAAGAGAACAAGGCUAGUAGAUGUGAACACUUAAAACUUCCAGAAUUCACCAUCCUAAAGAAAAUCUGGCGUCUACAUAUUGACAUAAUUGCUAAUGUUAAUAUGGCCUCUUCUUAUGGGGUCGAUGUCCCUAAACAAGUUCUUCGCACACAUUAUUCCAAAUGGCAUGCCAAGCACAUGCAAUUCUCUCAUGGGUGAUAAAAUUAGUACAUGAUAAAAUAAAAUAAAACACAAUAUUACUUCAAGAGAGAAUUUCACAGGAAGCUAAUUAUGCAGAAAACCACUAAUUUCACAUUCUUCAUAAUUCAUGCGAAAGAGGAAGACGUAAAACAACCAGUUAGUUCUACCAAAAUUAAAUAAAACAACCAUAACCGACCUCUGCAGUAAAGGCCGUUCGGCAAUAUGUAAGAAUAAGAUGAGUCGGUCGGUCAAGCUCAUAGCACCACGUAUGCCACCCCAAAGUAGAGCAAUUUUACCAACUAAUCUCAAAAUGCCACCCUUUUGUCCCAGUUCUGCUAGAACAGCAACCAGUCUUCUCAUACAUGUCCAACAUAAACAAACGCCAUCUUAAGACAAGUAGGAAGAUCGAAGAGAGAGGAUAUUAUAAUUUAUGAGGAAAACAAGAAAAUAAGCAGAAAACUGAAAGUAAAUCUUACCUUUCAUGAUCAACUUCCCCAUCACUUUUUGUAGGUACUACUGGACCAGCAACAGACAUGGCUUUUUCAGCAAGGCUGCUCAUUAUAUUAUUCUGGCUUUUUUCUUGCACUGUUUCCCCAAGCUUCAAAUGUUCCUCCAGGAUAGAUCCCUUUGGAACAGAUGAAGAUUCCAUUGCUUCUUUAUCUUCCUCGCUCUUUUGUUGAAAAAAUAAACAGAAUUAUGAACAGUCAGCAAAUAAUUGGUAGCAUUUGUAUCUCCUGGGUGCUUUUGCAGAUACUAACAACAUUAGGGAAGAAUAAUGUUAAGCCUGUCUCAGCAACUAUAAAGGUGUACCAAAAUAACAUUCUAUUUGAAUUGAAAGCUUUCGCCUAAAAAAACAAUCUUAAAAAACUGUAUUUGAUCACUUAGAAAACUUCAGUUAACAAUGUUCAAUCCUUUAGUACCUAUAUAUUAUCCAAUCUUCUCAAAAUAUUCUGCAUAAUCAUUACCCAGUUACUUGAAGAGAAAUUUCUGGCUGAUUUCUACUGUUAAAUAUACAUCAUUAUACAUAAAAUGCAUGGUGAGAUACUAGGAAGCAAUGCCAAAUAGAAAAAGAAGAGGAAAAGAAAAGAGAAGGAAAAGAGCAAAUGCGGCAUUGCUCCUCGUCUAUGUUUGGUGUCAAAGAACCACAGCCUGACCAAAGAAAAUUGAGUUUGACGAGUCUAAGGAAUAGAAACAAAACAAUAACAAGAUAUAGCAAGCACAACAAUUGCUUCAAAGAGCAUAGAAGCAUACCACCUAUAAAAUUAGUAAUUUUGUAAGCAAAUGUGAUGCUUUACCUGAUGAUGUGCCAACAAAGCUGAAGCACCCAAAGCAGCUGUAACAGCCCCAACCAUGAUGCCUUUAUUGCCUGAUCUGUUUGUCUCAAGGCUUUUACCUACACCACUCGUUGACUUUUCUAUCUCAUCAUGUCGAACCUUCUCAUCAAAAUGACCUUCAUUGCCAAUGCCAUUCUCUAAAGCAUGAAUCUUCUCCUGCAUCUGGCCAUGUUCACUAAUUGCUUUGUUUCGAUCAUCAUCCUGCUGAACACCAACAUGGAAAUAAUUCCUUAAAGACGCUAACACGGUACCUACAAUGACACCAACUGGAAGAACUUUCCGCAGAUGGCUUGCCUCCUUAACUGCAGAUGAUAUCGUCCUAAUCAUAAACUCUCCUUCAAUUGAGCCAUAUUUCAGUUUAGCUGGCUCAUCAAUUUUUGAGAUCGAGAUCAGAUUCAAUUCACUGUUGCAAACAACUUCUUGAGACACAACAGUGGCGAGACGUUCCAUUUCAUUUGCAAGGCUGCUCUGCAGUUCCUCUAUGACAGAUAUGCCUAAUCUGCGACCAACUUCAACUUUCAAAGCUUCCAGUAAUUUUCCUUUAAUCAAGAAUAUCAGCUCCUUUAUUGCAUCAUCCUGUGCAAACUGACCGCUGAGUGUAUCAAAUUCUUGAGCUGACUGAUUAUUAGAUUUUGACAAGUCAGUUUCUAAUAUAAUGUAUGAUGGCUCAAUAACAUUAUCCAUUCCAACUAACCUUGGCAAGGAAUUAGAGGUUUGAGAUUCUUCGGAAACACUAUGAUAUUUUCUGCUGUCACUUAUAUCAUCGUUAAUAUUCUUAGCCUGAUCUGCCAUUUUCCAUUUACCUUCUUCUGGGUCAAGGAAUAGAUCAGUUGCUGUGUCUAAUUCAGACGAUUUCAUUGGUAACUGUUUGGAAAGAUAUCUAUGAAGAUAUGCGGCACAUUGCAUACUCCAGUAAGGAUUUAGUAAAACGUUCUGUUCAGGCUCAACAUUGUUUAAGACAUAACCUUCCAAAUAAUUACUAACACUAUUAUUUUCUUGCGAGUGCCUAUUGUUGGUGUUAUUUUUUGGUUGACUAGACGAAUGAAUUAUGUUUGACUCAGCACUUACUCCAUUCUGCCUUUCCUCUAUCUUGUCAGGCACAUUGUUGUUCAAGAAAGGCUUGCCAUCAGCUGUAUCUAAUGUUUCCUGAUCCUCUGCCUUAUUUGUGUCAGCAUUUUCAAGUUCAUUUCUUUUCUCUAAUUGGUCAAUCAUAUUCUCAAUAACUCCAAACACACUAUUAACCGCCAUCUGAGUCGAGUCAUCAAAUCCAGUUAAGGCAUCUAAGGCUUGAGUUAUACUGAUAGAGGGUGGUUUCGAAGAUGGGUGUUGUGGCGCAGGUUCUACUUUUGAGUUUUGCACACUUUGAUCAACCAUGUUCUGAGCAGGCUUUUCUUCAUUCAGCUGAGUUCCAUUCACUUCCUUUUGUAUCACCUGGUGUUCAGAAGUGGAUUCGCUAGAUGAAAAUACUUCUCCAGAAAUUGAAGACUGAGCUUGUGUAUUUUGUUCUGGAAGAGAAUCUGCUCUCUUGACUUCAUCUUUAAUGGUACUACCAUUGGCAUCAUUAACCACUUCUUGAUAAUCUAAAGACUUCCCAGCUAUUUCAUGGCCCUGGUCGACACGAUGCUGCUCACUAUCAUCAUCUCUUGUCAUGGAACUUGGUUUCUCAAAUUUGUUAGGCUGGAUCUUUUCACUUUCCAUUUGAGAUUCAGGUUGGGAUGCCUUAGCUUGAGAUGACCCAAUAUUUUCGUGGGUGUUGAUAUUAUCCGAAAAUAAAUUAACAUCAUUUUGUGUUACUUCCUCACUACCAGCAGCACUUUUACUGUGAUCUGAUGAAGUGGCCUCACUACUCCCACUUGAAGAGGUUGAGAAUCCCUUUAUCUUAUCUUGGAUCCUUGUCUUGACUUCUGAUGCCACAUUAGUCCAGCCAAUCUUUGUUAACGAGUCAAGAUUCAAGUUUGCUCGCUGAGUUUGCAGGAUGUUAGUAACAGCAGUUGUGAGCUUCCCACGGACAUCUUCUGGAACAGCUCCUUCCAGAGCUUUCAUUAGAGUUUCUCCUUGUUCCAUGGCAGUUAGAACCUUAGGAAGGAACGAAAAUUUAACUUACAGCAAGCCUUCCUACUAUCGUUCAAUAUAUACUUCACAUUUGUAAGAUACCAAAGCAUAAGCAAACAUACAUGAAAGCAGCAACUAUCUACAUUAAGUAGCUUUUAGGCAUCCAAUUAUUGCCUCACAUGAUAGAUGUAUACUAGGUGUAGCGACAUUAAAACAGCAGCUUUGAAGAAAAGAAAAAAGAUAAAUACAAUUAGUCAAGCAUUAAUGAUUUCAUAUUUGCACUGUCCUCAUUUUUAAUGAAUGAUUGGCACAGAGAAUAUAUAUGAAACUGAUAAUAAGGUCCAAGCUAUUAUAUUCCACAAAAAAUUUCGACUAAAACUAUUAUCAUAUUUUUUUUCUCCUAAUUCUGACUAACACAAAGCAGACUGAAGUCAAUUUAAAUCCGAUUUCCACAAAGCUAGGUCCACCUACGAAACCCCAUAGCUCAAUUUGUAAGGGAAUCUUGAACAGAGAAUUCAUUUCCAACUUUGGUGAAGAAAAUGUGUCAUCAGAGAUAAGUAAAAAAAAAAAAAAUCAACAUUUAGCUCAAUGUUCAUUUUUUUUCUUGCACAACUGCAAAACAAGUUUAGAGUUUGAAAGAGACCACAAAUUGAAACAGUUGAGAUGAAUUUUUUUAAAAAAAAAACAAUCGGCUUAGAAAUUAUGGCUAUUAGCGACAAAAUGGAAGGGAUAUCAUUUAGAUGUUGUACCUUCCUUUUCUGUUCAUCAUUCAAAGUACCCGGCAUAGUAUAAUCAAGCAUGUUCAUGACAACAACAGCAGUUUGUAGUACUUGACUUUCGUCACUAUCUACCAAGCUAUCUUGUUUCUGCUCCAUAUCACCAACUCUAUUGGCCCUGUCUAAUUCAGUAGCUUGUUUUGAUCGGCUGUUCUCCUUGUUUUCUGCUCUAGAAUCUCCAUUAAAAAGUGGAUCAACAAGAAAUCCAUUAACAGGAUUUGACUGUGUCAGCUUUAACAGAGAAUUUCUGUUUGGAAUAUUAUGGCUAGCAAGAAAAGUAGCAGAAGCAUUGCUCCCACGAACUUUAUUCUCACUUGACGUUUUCUUGUCUGAUGCUCCACCAUCAACAAAUGCUAGACCUUUUGAAGGAUUGAUAGUGAUAUCUACAUCUUUCAAAAGAGGAUGGCGGCCCUUUAAAAGUGCAAGCUCCACUGCAGACAGCCACUGCACAAGUCAAAUACAUAAACUUAAGAUAAUAAUAACUUCCUACAGUAUCAUAAGAAAUGAUAGAAUAGAAAGCGAUAAAGCUAGUUGUACAUAUUCGCAUUGAAAAUUUUAAAAAAUUAUAAUCAAUAUAAAUGUUAAAUAGGUUUUCAAAAUGGGAUCUAUAUAUGAAAGCAUUUGAGGAAAGUAAGAGCUAUUAAAAACCUCACAAAAAGGCCUUCAACGAGUGCAAUGAGAAAUCAAUUUCUCAAAGAAAUAUUAGUUAGGACCAUAUUGGCUACCACAUGAACAACCCAAAUAGAGACACAUUGACAACUCAAAUGGAAACAAUCAAACACUCGUUUCCAAAAUAUUACCUCUAUGGCAAGAUGUUGGCACCAAAGAACAGCAGAUCUCUCGAUUCUGAUGUUAGUUGAAGGCAGACAAGAGCAGAGGAGGAGGCUUGUAAAAGGAUUUUCUGCUAUUAAACUACGUGGUACAGAAAAUAGUGGCACGGUCCCAUCGUCACUCUAUAAAAUUUAAAUGAUCAAUGAGGCCUUUGAAAGAGAAAAUAAAAGUUCCUCACAAUAAUUCACUACCAAUAUAAGCAUAAAAUAACCAAAGUCCAAGAAAUUACUCCUAAAAAUCAGAGAUUGAAAUUGGUUGGCACGUAUAAUGUAAAUUUCAAUCACAUAAUUGCCUUAAAACAAAACUCAGAGAAUUUCAUACAGUUCAUACGGUGGAAAUUAGAAACUCUAAUAUUGAGGUCCAUGGAGUCCUUGCGAAAGUUCUUUCUUCAACAAACUACAGUUAUACUCAGUAUCCCCUUAGAAUACCAUCAAGCAUAUCUGUAGCUGAGAUAAAGAGAGAUAAAACAUGUGCUUUGCAAGAAUAUUUCUGUAUAGAGGCACAGAGGAUGUCACAUAAUAAAAGAAAAACAGUUUAUGCUCUAAAUAUGAUACAGAUCUGUGAAAUUAGGGUCUUCAAUAUAAUCAGUUAGCAGCAUAGAAUUGCAUGCAAUUGUCUUAUCAGUCAUCACAGGAUUAAAAAGCAACAAUUGGUAAAAAUGGAACAGGAUUGCAUGAUAAUAAGAAGAUAAACAUCACCGAACUCAGCAAUAUGAGACCAGAUUAAAUGAUUAUCAUAAGAUAAAUGCUGAAACCAACACAUCCACAUAAGAUAGAGCAGGUAUGCCAAGUAAAAAGUGAGAUAUAUUCAGUUUCUGGUAUUAAAAUAUUGCCUGAAUAAAAAGUACAGGAAUCUUCACGCCUCCAACUAAUUGCCUUGAACUGUUUUUUGCAUAGAAGGCCUCAACACUAUCAAACCCAUAAGAAACCAUGGAUAUUCCUACAUCAAAAUCACGAACAGAUGUAGCUGACAAAGCUUUUUGAACAUCAAAACCUUUAGCUCGUCCCUGGAAGAAUUCCUGAAAAAUGUAAAUGUCAAUAAUCUGUUGCACAUAGUGAAGGUGCUAUAAAAGCUAUAUGUAUCUAAAAAUAGUUAAACAUAAUUUACUUAAGUAAUAAAUUUCCUCCUGCAAUGAAAAAUUUUGUUCCUUUAAUAAUUUCCAAAUGAGAAAUACAAGAGCAUAAAAAAUAUAUCCAUAGUUAGAAAUAUAUAGCGACCUUAUUAGCUCGCAGAAUAUCUAUCAACCCACUAGUCAGCUUUUGGUCCAAAGCAAUAUGAUGAGGGAAUGACCUUGUUGCUUCCUCCAAGUCAAAAGGGUUGUCUAUGCAUACAGCAGCUGUGAGAGGAGUAGCCUCUCCUACUUCAGCAAGAUACUUUGUCAGCAUAUUUGCACCGUAUCCCCACCCAACAGCCAUCAGUGUUGUCCAUGGCCUCAAAUGAUUAACAAAUUGAACUGCUGUGCAGAUAUCAUCGCUGUCAGCAGCUGUGAAUAACCUACAUGAGCAAGCAGCUUAGAAGCCCUACAAUUAAGAACAACUAACCAUUCUCAGUAAGAAUAUUCAAUUCUUGGAUAAAACGUAUUCUUGCACAAGUCCCAGUCACAAGGAUAGGAUUGGAACUUCCUAAAAUGAAAAAUGUUUGGAAUAUCAAGAAAGCCGGAAUAUUAAAGAUAAAAUCGUAAAAGUGAGAUGAAAUUAAGAGAGACAUGCAAAAAACAACCAACUGACUAUCAACAAACAAAUUAACCAGAAAGAGUUCUUCUCUACUGUUUGAUUUCUCUCAAAAUAUAUAUAUAUAUUUUGAUGUCUCUCUUACUACUACCUAUUUUAAAACGUUGCGAGUUAUAUUGCUGGCUCUUUUGUUCUUGACAAAUUUAGUUCAUUUCAACUGAUUUCCUCUGGAAUUGCUGAAUUUCUUCUGACACUCAAGAACUCAACUAACAAAAUUGAAAAGCAAGAAGAACUAGGUUUCUGUCGAGUUUAGUUAGACAGAAUGAUUCCAUUUGCAACUAUUUGCUUCCCCUUUCAUCCAACAAAAUGGUACAAGAAAUGUUUCACAAAAUUCAAUUCUUUCACAACAGCACCCGAGUCUAAUCCUUCAAUAUUUAGUCACAUUAACAAAAAUAAAUAUUCAAGAACUCCAAUCACAUAUUCACCUGGCUGUGGUCAGAGGAGAGCCGCCACACCCACGUGGAUUCAUCACAACAGGGAAAUACCCAUGCUUGAGCGAGUCCACCACAAAGAUCCUCACAUUUCUAUCCAUGCUCCCUUCAGCAGUACCCGGCACAAUCAGUAUGGUUGAAUCCAACCCAUGCUCCUUCUCGAUGUCUAAAUUAUCCGGCCAAUCCAUCGAUAUCACGCCUCCGUCAUCUGUCCCGACAGAAACCCUCUGAUACAAGACCUCGUCAUCCGUCCCCCUCUCCCCCUCCUUCUCUGCGGCAGGGAUCCUUCCCCUGCUCAAAUUCACGUAGUGCCGCUCCUCCCUCACCAGUCUCUCGUUCAGUCCAUCCAAUAAUUCCCCGCCGUCCUCGAACGACACCGAGGGGCAUCGGAGGAGCACGCACCGAUUGAACGGGGUUGGGCUCGUGAAGAGGAUCCAAUCCCCGACGGCGGUGUCGGAUUCAACGCCGAGGUUGGUUCUUCCACUCCGGCGGUGGGCGGAGAGGAAGAUGGCGGCGCCGGAGAUGAGUCCGAGGGCAGGGCCGAGGACGGCGUGGGAAUUGGGGGAGGGAAAGGCGGAGACGAGGUCGCCGAAGAUGUCGCCGAGGGAGGAAUCGAUCCAGAGCUGGGGUCUCCGGCGGCGGCGUCGGCGCCGGAGGAGGAGGAGGUCGUGGCAGAUCCUAGGGUUCCGGGGAGGGAAAGCGGUGUUCUUGAGGGGGAGAAAGGGGGAGCGGAGCUCGAGAGGGGAGGAGACGAAGCAGAGUGCCAUGAGGAGUCGAUCUAGGGUUUCGAGAGGGGGGAGGCGUCGAAGAAACCCUAGGCGUGGAGAGGAGGAGGGAGGCGGAUAGAACGGGUAGCGGUGAGGAGGAGACGAAUGGGAAGAGCACGUGAGAAAGAGACGCUGAUUGCGGCUAUUUAUACUAACGUUCUCGAUGUUUCGUCGACCUUUUAACGGCUACAUGACUCUAGCGGAAAAUUGAAUCCAGAAUCACCUUUCCCUCCAUAUUGCGAGAAUCAUCUUUCCAUAUCUUUUUUUUUUUUUUUUCAAUUUAUGAUUUAUUAAUAUUUAAUAAAAUAAAUUAAUGGCAAUAAAGUUCAAUUUUUAUUUAUCAAGUGGUGGCUCUAAUUUCUCUGAUUAUUUUUAAGAAAAUUGACAAAUAGUUUAUUUAGUUUUUACUAGAAAGUAAAGUUAUCUCAAAAUCAUAAAUUAUCUUUUUCAAAAAAUAUGUGGAAAUAAAAGUUAAUAGAGUGAAGUAAAUGUGCUUUUCAUUUACAAUUUAAUAUUUUUAGAAAAAAUAGCCCGUUAUCUAUUUCAUUCAUUUCGCAAAUAAUAUUUACAAUUUAUUUUAAAGCCACUCAUUAGUAAAUCAAUCAAACAACCGCCUUUGUUGCCUUUGUUACUUCGCCAAGUUCAAUACCACCCUUCAAAUAAAAGAAAACAAAUCCUAAAUUAGGGCUUGAUUAUAAGAAUUAGUCGACUAAAUUAAAACAUCACAUCAUUUUAAUAUAAUGAUAGUAAAUAUUUAAUUAACUAAAUUAAGUUGUAAGAUUUGAUUAUAAAAAUUAAGAAAAUUUAAACCAUCAGUUCUACUAGAUUAAUGUUUAAGUACUUGUAGGUAGUAACACUCUGUUUGGAAACUUUAAUUAAUUUAUAAUUCAAAGCAUUCUAGUAGAAAAGGAUUUUGGGUUGAAAUUUUUCUUCAAAAUGGAAAUAAAUGGAUUAGUUUCUAUUGCUUACUUUCCUAUAAGUCCUGAACCAUAAUGAUUACUAUAUGUAAAUCAUUUAAUUUACUUGCACUUCUAAAUUCACCCAAAUCAACAAAAAUCAACCAAAAUUGCAAAUUAAUAACUAUCCAAACAUCGCAUUUUAUAAAACGUGAAGCAACUAGCCUUCGGAUAUAAGAGCUUGAGUACCAACAGUUAAGUCUUAGCUAAUUACACUAGAUACGGUCGAUCGUUAGAUUGAGAUGUUAUUGCCAAUACAGUAUAAUUAGAUAUAUAUAUACAGCUAGAAAUAUAAUAGUUAUGAUUAUAUACAUAUUAUUUGACUGUUUACAAUAAAAAAUAUUGUAACUAUAAAUUACUUAUUUAGUUGCAUACAUUUGAUAAGUGUAUUACAAAAUUUUAUCAUUUUAUACAUACGGUGGUGUUCAUCUCAGAGAUAUAUUUACAAAAUCUUAUCGUUUUAUCAUUUUAUAUAUAUUAGAUAGUGAGAUUAUUGUAAUAUAAAAAAUAUUUUUAUUUGAAAGGUGAUUAGACAAGAUAAGUCUUUGUUUUUUUGGUUUAUAGUUACUCUUUCUAACUUCUCCAAUUUGCAUGCCGCGAAUUUGGUUAUAACUCAAACUAUUACAGUAGAGCAUAUUUAAGCAGCUCUAAGGGUGCAUUUGGUUCGGGUUAUCUUGACAGGAUUACAGGCAAUCCUGUCAGGAUUAUUACAUUUUGUUCAUCCAAUAUGUAAUCUGGUCGGUAAUAUAGUAUUAUUAUAAAUGGUGCAGGAUUACACCGAAAAUAUUACCGGGGGUAGGGUGUGUAUCUUAGAUUACUAAAGACGGUUAAUAUUGCAUAUUAUAUAAAAUUACAAGUUUAUCCAUCCAACUACCGAAACCCUUUCAAUACGUCAUUUUAAAAAUUUUAUUUAAAAAUUUUGAAUUAUCAACUUUUAAAUUUUAAAAUUUUAAAUUUGAACAAAAAUACAAAAUUUAAUAUUUUAAUUUAAAAUAUAAAUAUGAAAUUUAUAAAUUUAAAAUCUAAAAUUUAAAUAUAAAUUUAAAUUUAAAAUUUAAAAUCUAAAAUCUAAAUUUAAAUUUUAAAUUUUAAAUUUUAAAUUUUAAAUUUUAAAAUUCAAAAUUUUAUUUUAAAUUCUAAAUUUUAAAUUUAGAUUUUAGAUUUUAAAUUUUAAAUUUAAAUUUAUAUUUAGAUUUUAGAUUUUAAAUUUAUAAAUUUCAUAUUUAUAUUUUAAAUUAAAAUAUUAAAUUUUGUAUUUUUGUUCAAAUUUAAAAUUUAAAAUUUAAAAUUUUUAAAAUUUAAAUUAUUUAAAAUAAAAUUUAGUAAAAAAAUAUUAUUUGUAAAUAGUAAAAAAAAAGUUUACCAAAUAUGACUAAGGAUAAUUUUGGAAUAGAUUACACUUUUUUGUCAAGAUUAUUGAAUUUUAUAUACUGAACCAAAUAAUAUUUUUUUACUAAAUUUUUAAUCCAGCAUUACAUUACUGCAUUAAACCAAACGUGCUAAUGCAAUAUCAGUAUAUAAAAUUCAAUAAUCUUGACAAAAAAGUGUAAUCUAUUCCNAAAAAGUUUACCAAAUAUGACUAAGGAUAAUUUUGGAAUAGAUUACACUUUUUUGUCAAGAUUAUUGAAUUUUAUAUACUGAACCAAAUAUAGUAAUACUAUAAACAUUGUAAUCCAGCAUUACAUUACUGCAUUAAACCAAACGUGCUAAUGCAAUAUCAGUAGUAAUUUCAUUUAGAAAUCCAAAAUAUCUGUAUAUAUCGAAAUACUAUGUAAUAUUAUAUAACUCAAACCAAACGUGCCCUAAAUGUAAUGAUUAUCAGUUGGAUUUAAAUACAUUCAAAUAAAUACUUAAUUUGAAUCCGUACAUAGUUAUAAUUGCAGUAUACUUGCCAUCUGUAUUUGUAUAUAGUUAUAAUUGCAUUAUAAUUGCAACAGUAUGCAAGGAAACGGCUCCCUAAUGCUCUCAUUCCCUGGUACGCUGGGGCUAGUUAUAUGCGGAUCUACUCGAUAAAAAAACACAUUCAAACCCGGAAAAAGAUCGGGUCAAUUCCCAUCCGACUCAAUCCGAUCCGCUUCGACCCGAUCCAAUCCGAUCCGAUCCGAGUCUUAUCCGGAAGAACUCGUGCUCUACCCCGUUCUGCAGGUUUCCUUGUCCCCUUCACCCUCCUCACACGUUCCCAGAGAAUCGCUUCCCCAAUUCGAGGCGUUGAAGGUAAAUUUUUCUAAUUUUCCAUUUUAAUUUCUCUAUUCAAAUCCCUUUACUUGGAUUCUAUAUGCUUAGAUGAUGCAAUUUUCUUGUUAAUUUGGUGUUCUGCAUAAUCUAGGGUUUGCUGUAGAUGGGAUAUGGAAGUUUUAAUUGUUCUGAAACCGAAUUAUAAUCUUGUUAGUGUGCUGUCUUGUGAUGUGAAGGAGAAUUGUGUCAUGGGCCGAGCAGGCAGAUCGGGUAUAGGAGCAACCCGCAUCACCAACCGAAAGGAGAAGUGACUUAUCCAAGAUUGGUAUCUGUGAUACAACCUACUGGAAUCCCACUUGCAACUAUAAUUGCAACAUCAACCACUACUGCAGUCUUUUUAUAAAUUAUUCUCCCAUAAAUAAGAACUCCUACCUGUAAUUCCUUCAAGCUGAAGAUAAUAAGAAUCUCUAUUCUUUCUUAAUCUCAUCUCCUAUCUCCUCGCCUCCCCCAUCUCUCNNNNNNNNNNNNNNNNNNNNNNNNNNNNNNNNNNNNNNNNNNNNNNNNNNNNNNNNNNNNNNNNNNNNNNNNNNNNNNNNNNNNNNNNNNNNNNNNNNNNNNNNNNNNNNNNNNNNNNNNNNNNNNNNNNNNNNNNNNNNNNNNNNNNNNNNNNNNNNNNNNNNNNNNNNNNNNNNNNNNNNNNNNNNNNNNNNNNNNNNNNNNNNNNNNNNNNNNNNNNNNNNNNNNNNNNNNNNNNNNNNNNNNNNNNNNNNNNNNNNNNNNNNNNNNNNNNNNNNNNNNNNNNNNNNNNNNNNNNNNNNNNNNNNNNNNNNNNNNNNNNNNNNNNNNNNNNNNNNNNNNNNNNNNNNNNNNNNNNNNNNNNNNNNNNNNNNNNNNNNNNNNNNNNNNNNNNNNNNNNNNNNNNNNNNNNNNNNNNNNNNNNNNNNNNNNNNNNNNNNNNNNNNNNNNNNNNCCCCCCCCCCCCCCCCCCCCCCCUCUCUCUCUCUCUCUCUCUCUCUCUCUCUCUCUCUCUCUCUCUCCUUCCUCUAUCACUCUCUUCUCUUGUAUCAGGUCUAAGAAACUGGAAUUCAAGUAAGCUACUAAAAUCUUCUUAUCUUUUAUAAUAAAACUUUGAUAAAAUGAGAAAGGAGUUACAACCUUGUAUAUAAAAUGCAUACUCACCACCCCUAUCCUCUUCCCCUCUCAGAAGCUUAAAUAUAAAAUAACUACGUUCAAGAAAGGAAAGCCUAUGGGCAUACUCACUCGCCACCCCAAACCCCAUUCUUCUAUGUGGGUUACUUUGGCUUCAGAAAUAGUAGUAUUACCACAAUUGCCACAACGACUAUCACCAGAGUUAGAAAGAGAACAGAGAGAAAGCAACAAACAUUUUUCCUGAACCUCAAUCAUGGUUGAUCUCCUUAUAGCUUGAAUAAUAACCCUCUGAGCCAUUUGUAUUCAUUUCCCUCUUCUUUUCUCUUCAGCUCUCUCUCUCUCUCGUAUAUCUCUAUGCAAUGAGGCACUAAGCUAAUCCUUCUAUGUGGGCUACUUUGGCUUCCUAAAUAGUAGUAUUACCCCAAUUGCCACAACGACUAUCACCAGAGUUAGAAAGAGAACAAAGAGGAAGCAAGAAACAUUAAUUUUCCUAAACCUCGAUCAUGGCUGAUCUCCUUAUAGCUUGAUAUUUCUACCAUGAGAGAAGUUUUGGAGCUUGGAUUGGAGCUUGUUGGAAGAGAGAUCUUCAACCCUAACUCAUUUCAAGUUUAUAUUGAAGCUUCUAAAGAGGUUAGUAACAUGUUUCUCUCUUUUGAUUCAUGUUUUUGGAGGUUUUUGUGUAGAAACCCUAGAAAUGGAAAAACUAGAGUUUCUUUGGAAAUUUUCGAUUUGGGAUUUUUGGAGCUCAAUUUAUUGGUUUAGAACCUUCCUUUAGGUUGGAAUAGAAGUGCUCUAGCCUUCUUUGGGAUUUAAGAAAGUUUUUCCUACAUUUAGGUGAGUUUUUGCUUUUUUUUUGGGUUGGUUAAAGAUGAACACUUUGGGUGUUCGUUCGUUUCGUUUAACCUUCUUAGAAUUUUCUUUAGAGAGGUAGAAGACUUGUGGGCAUCUUCGUUUGCGCAAACGAAAGGGUUACAAGGAGCUCUUGGUGGGUUUGACCUCAUCGAAAUGAGUGAACUCCCCCUAUACUAUAUUUUUUGUUGUAAAAUAAAAAUUCAUGCAUAUUUAUGCUAGAUAGAGCAUAAAUGAAUUUUAGAAUGAUUAAAAUGCAUAUGUUAUGUAUCAUGAGAUUUCGUCUCUAUAUAAUAUAGAUAUAGGUGCAUAGUACUCAUGCUAGUAUAUGGUAUUCUUAUGAUGUGUUGAAAUUAUGUUAUAUGUAGAUAAAUGACAUGCAAUUACUUUUUUAUGAACAAUGGACAUAUGCUAAAUAUAGUAAAAACCUAAUGUCAUAAAGUGGUAUUGAACUUAGAGUAUGUAUGGACUUAGUGAGCUACAAUGUCAUAAAGGGAUAUAGAGCUUGGAAUAUGUUUGGGCUUGGUAAACUAUAAUAUCAUAAAGUAGCAUUAGAUUAGUAAAUGGUUGAUCCUUUACCUAGUACACGUAUAAUACAUGUCACAUUUAAUUAAAUAAAAUUUAUAUUUAUAUUUUAAAUUUAAAUUAUUAUUGGUGGUAUCUAUGUAUUUAUUAUUGGGCUUUUUUUUUUUCUAACUUUAAUUUAUCUCCAAAUAAGUUUUAUGCAUUUUUCAUUUAAUUAUACAAUAAAUAUUUUUCAAAUAUAUUUCGAAUAAAUUUUAACUUUUAAUUAAUUCAAAAUUUUAAAUUAAUAAAUUUAUAUUUAAAUUUAUAAAGAAAACUCAAAAUUUGAAGUUUAUUUUAAAUUCAUAAUUUAAAUACAGUAGUUAUUGGAGAUAUAGAUCUAUUUAACAACUAAUCUAUCUUUCAAACUUAACUUAUUUUCAAAUUGGUUAAUUAUUUUCAAUUUGAAACUACCUUUUAAUAGACCCAGAAUUUAAAAUUCUAAUAAAAUAUAGAUUGAUGUUUGAAAUUUUGUACCAAACUUAAAAUUUAUAAUCAAGUUGAUCGUCCUAGAAAACUUAAAAUUUAAAGUGGAAUUGGUAUGCUUUAUUUUAAAUCAUUCUAUUUUUUUUAAAAAAAAAUAUUCUAUUCUUUUUAAAACUAAUUUAUUUUUAGUUAUUUAAUUGAAAGCUAUUGGAUACUGCUAAUAUUUUUUUAUGUAUGUUUGAGCAUGUAAAGAAUAUUUUGUUGGUAAAAAUUUGGAUAAGUAUGAAUUUUUUUUUCUGUUUUUGCAAAUAAAAUUUAAUAUUUUUUUCAGCUAUAAAAUGGAUAUGUCAAUAAUUAUUUUAAUAUUUAUUUCAAAUCAAUACAUAUUUGUGCAUCAUAUUUAUCAAAAAAUUUAAAAAAUAAUUUUCAAAAAAUAAUUUUUCUAUUAUAUUUUAUUUAAAAUUAUAUGUUACAUCCUAAUUCAAAUUCAAAUAAUUGUUGCCGACAAAAAUUAUAUAGUUCUAUUUUUUUAAAUACAUACAUUGAAUAUUUCACUAUAUGUUUUUUUUUUUACUUUUGAAAGAUCCAAAAGUUAAAUAUAUAUUUUAAACUAAAAGUGUCAAAAUUUUAAUUAACAUUUAAUUCAAAAUUUAAAAUUUAAUUUUGAUCCACUUUAAUUAAAAUUUUCUAACUAUUAUUAAUUCAAAUUUAAUAUCCAAAUUAUAAUUAAUUCACGAUUUAAACUCAAAUUUUAAUUUUAAUUUAAAUCUAUAAAUUUAAUUUUAAAUUAUAUAAUUAAAUUUCAACUCUGAAUUUUAGAGAAAAUAAAAAUUUUAAAUCAAUUGAAGUUAAAAUUUAGAUAGAUAUUUGAAUUUAAAUUUAAAUUUGAUUAUCGGUUGCAAGCAAUAAAAAGUUAAUAUAACAACUAAAUAUUAAUGGGAAGAAUUGAGAUAAUUUUUAAAUAUUCACCUUAAAAAAAAAAGAUAUAUUGAAUGAUAUAAAAAUAUUUAAUAGAAAAAGAAAACAUUAUUUGUUAAAGAUAAAAAAGAAUUAAAAAUUGUUUUAUUACGUUUUUUGUUUUGUAUAAGAAAAGGAGGAACCGAAUUUUUUUUUCCACCAAAAAAUAGGUCUAUUGAUUGGUCGAAAUUUGAAAUAUGUGCUUUUAUAUAUAUAGUGUUGCACGAGUACGCUUAUACAAUCGUUGGCAUCUGUCGCAGAUGAUGAUACUGCAUCGUGGCAGGUGAUCGAAUGCUUUGGUUCUGGUGAGAGG